rnacentral:lncRNA from 1 species
AGAGAGAGAGAGAGAGAGAGAGAGAGAGAUAGUAUUGGAAGUAUAAGAGUAUGGUAGUUAUCUUGUAGAUGAAGUUUAGCAUGAUGCAACAGUGAGCUGCAGCAUUACCAUGCUGAAACAGUGAAGCACAUGCUUCACAGUCACACACCAUCAUGCUAAACUUCAUCUACAAGAUAACUACCAUACUCCUGUACUUCCAAUAGAUAUAUAUACAGAGAGAGAGAGAGAGAAUGAGACAAAAAGGAGCAAUUCUUACCAGUCUUUAGGACUGUGAAGCCAACUUUUUAAUUCAGCAGCAUCAAAGAACAGAGCACCUCCAGUAUCCACCCAACAACAUUUUCCAUUAGGACUUUUUGGGUUUAGACCAACAUCCAAAUGAUCUGACUUUCUAAUUUCAACAUGUUCAUUUGUUUCUGAAUUUCCGCUGGUACUUCUUGAAUUAGUUUCAUCAACCAGUGGGAAAGAUGAAAGAGACUCUUCAGCUAAUUGCCGGUAAAGCACCAAUCUUGGGGAUGCAGAUCUCAAUGUAAGAGAGAAUUCAAACAAAGAUGCCAAUGGUUCACUCAAAAUAGAGCGCCCAUGUUUCAAAAUUGUUUUUAGGCAACCCUUAGCAUUGUAAGAAUCAAGAUCAUCUUUAUCACUAUGAUGCCAGAUGUCAAUGAAUUCCCAAAAAUUAUCUUUAUGUUCUCUAGAUAGCAAUUCACUGCAUAACAAAAGAAAAAGGAAAGGAAAAAUGAUAGCUUGUUAGAAGCUGAUUUAUAAUAUAAAAAAAUAAAAAUAAAAAAUAAAAAAAAAGGAAAUGAGUUUCCUGUUCUCAACUAGGCACUCCACACUCCAACUCCAAAGUCAAACUUAUCUGUAUAUACAAAUAAAGCUUUUGCAUAUACAAUGGAUAUGAUUCUGUUCCAAAUAAUCAGACUAACAAUGAUAAAGACAGAUUUUGGGUGUGAAGGCACAUACAGACAGAUUUUUUUAAUGGCCCUACCGAGCCUUCAAAUAGUAGCUAAUUUGACUGCAUUGGUCCUACAAAUUGUGACACUUUAGGGUGUAGCAGAAACCUUAAAAGGAGUCUUGGAUUGUGAUUGUCUAGAUAAUGGAAACCAGGCAACAGUGCAGUCCACAAUGACCCACAGUGCAACAUUUGCAAAAAGUGAACUCAACCAUGAUAAAAUUAUAUCUCUAAAAUCAAAAACCAAACUCAAGAGGCAUAUAUAGAAUUCCCUUAAGUCCCAUAGUCCGUGUGCUUAAAAAAAUUGAGAGGUAAAAGGCAGAUGCAGUGUUUUCAUGAACUUAAGCCCAUUUUUCCUAUAAAAACCAAAAAACUCGCAUAUAGAUCCCAAUGCCUAAAGGGAAUUCCGAAACCAUCAUCUCUAUCAUGUUCCGGUAGCUCCUUUCAUUUUGCAUAUGGUUAUGGAAAAGGAAAUCUGAUGGAGCUAAGAGCAGAGAGCCAAUGCUAGUUUCUAUACGGAAGGUGUCAUAAUAAUGGCCAUGUUUAGGGCAAGAAUAAGUUACCCAUUUAGCUUAUGAUUAGGGGGCCAACAACUCAACAAAAGAUUAGCCCAAUGGUCUCAAAGCAGACUACAGAGCCGCGAGGUAAAACACAACCAGUAACACAAACCAUUAACAAGGUUGAGAUGUGAAGAGGAGAACACUCCAAUAUCAGAAGACAGCGAAACUAUGCUUAGCAAGGCCAUUGGCAACCAUGUAUAUGUUAUUAAGAUCAAACUACUCAAAGAGGCUCAUGGAUUCAGUCCCCAAGACUCGUUGCCAUUUGGUUUAUUCCUAUACUUUUCACAUUGCUCCUACAAAAAUCUUCCUCAACUUUCAUUUGCCUUUGUUUCAUUAAACUAACCAUGGUUUCAGCAUCACAAACAAAUUCAUAGCAAACAAAAUUGAAACAAUGAAUAAAAUCCAUACCCAGCUUCUAGGAGCAACGGAGUAGCGGACCACUUGGCCCGAACCGCGACCUGCACAUUCUUGGGCCUCCGAUUCUGAGCUGAAACCGAGCCGAUCAAACAAAUCAAAAUGAUAAACGCAUAGGCUAAACGCGUCCCCAUUUGAGAUCAGAUCCUUCAGAGAUCCAACAUUAGGUUUUGACGACUCAGUGAAGACGAUGAGAGUGGGAGACUCGUUUCUAUUGGUCUUCGCCGUACGUUUAUUUGCAAACUUCCCUUUUUGUUUUCUUUUUCGGUUUUUCCUUUUCGCUUGCACAUGCCAAAUUCGUAGUAUUUGUCCGAAAUCGUAAAUUUUAUUUUUUAUUUUUGGUUACAAGCGAGGCCUAAAAGUCUGAAAUCGUAAUUUUGACUCAUGAAAAAUAUUGAUCUACAUUUUAAUUUGUUCAUCUAAUAAUAAAAAUAGGGAUAUGAAAUCUUCUUUCCUUUUUUAUCAUCAGAUAAAACAAGGGUGAACAAUUUUAUAUUGGGUUAAAUAUUGUAUAGUCUCUGUGGUUUGAAGUCGACAUUUGUUUAGUCCUUAUGGUUUCAUUUUAAUCUAAAUGGUCCUUAAAGUCAUAAUUUUCCUUCUAAAUAGUCAUUCCGUCAAUUUUCUCAGUUAGAUUGCUGACAUGGCCAUUAAAAAUUGUAAUAUUUUUAACGGUCACGUCAACAUUUUAACGGAGAAAAUUGACGAAAUGAUCGUCUGGAAGGAAAAUCGUGACUUUAAGGACCAUUCAGAUUAAAAUGAAAUCACAAGGCUAAACAUAUAUCAACUUCAAACCACAUGAACUAAACAAAUUUCAAUUCUUUUAUAUUCAUUGUGUCACCAAGUAUGUCCAAAAGCACCUCUCUUGAUGCGUAUCAAUUUCAAGUUUCUCUCGAUAUAUUUCAAUACAUUUCUACCAUAUUUCCUCAUUUCUUAUCUCUAUUCAAAUGUGGGGGACUAUUAGACUUUGAAUAGAGUUUUGCAUCUCCAGAAUUCUUUUCUUGAAAUUGAAAUCAAAACGAAAAGUCUGAUCAACUUACCUUUUGGAUUUGAACAAAAAGUUAAUUGAAAAGACAAAUCUAAACAGCUUAGGGCUUGUCCGGUAACAUUUUUUAAACAAUUUUAAAAAAUGAUUUUUUAAAAAAUAAAAUGAGAAAAUGAGAUUGUUAUUUUCUACUUUGGAAAUGUAUUUGGUAAAUUAUUGUGAAAAGUAUUUUUGGUAUUUUCUAAAGUAUGAAAAUGAAAAAGUGAAAACGUCAAAUUGAUGUUUUCAAUUUUCUUUGUAAAAGUUGAAAAUAUUUUCAUUUUUCAUUUUCAACAUUUUCAAAAAUAUCUCACCAAACACGUUUUCAUCUUAUUUUCAUUUUAAGAAAAGUUCUAAAUACACAUCAUUUAUCUCUUAAUACACCACAUAUUUUUUACCCUUAACCUAUAUAAAACCAUGAUUUCCUAUUAUUGUACGUAAUGUCAAAGAUUUGUAUUUUUUUUUAACAUGUUUUUCUCUAUAUAUGUCACACAUCAAACUUCAUUGCCCAUAAAUCACCCUAUCCAUUCCUCAAAUUCAUCUACUCCUAUUUGGGUCCCCGGAUACUAUAAAUUCUCAGUGUUUGUGGUUCCAAGAAACAAAGCUACUUCCGGUUAAAGCUUGCAUGGAAUAGAGGGAUGGGGUUCAAUUGUUCUUUGGUUCUUUAUGGUGAUAUAGAAUUAAUCAGUUAACAUGAGUUUAGUUUUGAAAUUAGAUAGGUUAUUUAUACUGAAUUUUUUGCAAUUACAUGCAAAUUUAACUUGAUUGAGAUUGAAAUCGAUAACGACCAAUUUUUUUUUAGUUUCAAUUUUGGAUUUUCUAUAGGUUUCUCAAUAGGUUUGAAUGCUAUUUGAAUGUUUGUGAAAUGAAAUAUAGUUGAAUUAUGUUCAAUAGGAUCACUUUAUAUUUUUUCAAUUUCAAUAAUAAGCAUAUUAUAAUGGAUGUUUUUGUGAUUUAACAUAGUUACAAAUCAUGAUUAGAAAUAUGAAAAAAAAAAGUGUGUAUUAAGAGAUUUGGGAUAUGUAUAUAAAAUUACUCUUUUCAAAAAUGAAAAUACAAGCAUGAAAAUGUUACCGAACGUCACCUUACCUUUUCAAUUAAAACUAAAAGGGUGUCUAGGACUCUAUAUAACCCCAUCAAGUCUUUCUCUUAAACACAUAAUAACAACGUAUUCUUCUUCUCUUCCUUCCCUUUUCUUCAUAGAGAAAAACACUUAGUAAGAACAAACUACAAGCACUGAGUAAGGGUGAAAUUUUGUCUAAAGGGGAUUGCCAAUCUACAAGCCUCUAUCGAAUCACAAGUCAGUAAACUUGCAAUUACAAUUCCUUUAUACAAUUGAUAGAUACUUUAUAUGUUAUACAAGAUUUUGAAUUCAUUGAUACAUAUCCAAUAGCCUCUUGGCGGUAGAUCAACCAAGAGAAACCACUUGAAUACUAGUGUCAAAUUGUCCUUUGUUUUCUUUAUCUUAUAUAAAGAGUGCGGCUAAUGAGACCUCUAAAUUUGCUCAAUAUACCUCUCAUGCUCUUCACACCUCUAUUUUAUUUUUAAAUAAAAACAUUUACUCACUAGACAUUUAUUCAAAUUUCUAAAAUAACAACUAAUCAAAUAAAAAAUAAGAAGAAUAAGAGAAGUUUACGGCAUAAACAUCUAUAGCGUAUGUAUCCGGUCACCCGUGCUUGACUUUCUCCGGUCGUCACCGGAAUCUCGACGGACUUUGCUAAUGUCAUCAAAAUUAAAACCAAGAUUGUGGGUUGUAAACUGUCAUACCCUGCUAGCCAGUGCAAACUUCCUGAAGAACCACGUACCUCCAUUGAGUAUCGAGUCGUCGUCUUCUUCUCUUGUGAAUUGGAAAACAUAGCGAUCAUGUUGUUCACGAAUCAUUCUCAUAAAGGCAUGGGGGUUUACCUCGCGAUUUUGUGACGAACAAUAACAAAGUGUUUAUUAAGAGCAUCUCCAACAACUUCCCUAUUUUUUUUAUUUUCUCAAUUUUGGGGAAUAUUAGGCUGUUUUGUGAUUCAAUAGUUUCUUAUCUCAUUCCCCAAAAUAGGGAUGGAGAAGGAUUAUAAACACUUUUUUCCCAAAUUUGCAGCAAAGUCUUUAUUCCCCAAAUAUUAAUUCUUCACAUGCUCCAAUGAGAAUAAUAAAAAUAAGGAUUAAUUUCAGUUUACCCUCCUGAGGUUUAGGGUUAACAUUAUUUCACUCCCCAUACUUUUAAUUUUGAAAAAUUACCCCCUAAAGUCUCUAAUUUUUAUAAAUCAGACACAAUUGCUAAAAUUUCGUCCAAUUUGGAGGUUAAAUGAUAGCAUAAUAUCUUUUAGAAAAAAUUCCUAAAAUGCAAUUUAUGUUGUUAUAAGAUUAUUUUAGCCCUUUUAGUGACUUAUGAAAUCAAAAUUAACGUCCGAAUUAGAUAGAAUUUCAGCAAUUAGGUAAGAUUUAUGAAAAUUAAAAACUUUAGGGGGUAAAUUUUUUAAAUUAAAAGUAUGAGGGGUGAAAUGAUGUUAACACUAAACCUCAGGGUGUAAACUGAAAUUAAUCUUAAAAAUAAAGAAUAUUUUAUUGAGUAUAUAAUUUUUUUUUUGUUAUAACCAAUAAUGAUGUAGCAUAUUUUGUUGUAAUAAAUGCCGAGAUCUCCAAAAUGGGAAAGCUGUUGGAGUUUGAGCGAUUUUGGCUUUUGCUUCCCAUUUUAGAAAAAUUUUGGAGAAGCUGUUGAAGAUACUUUAAAACCCAUUACAACGGCCACCGUAGCGAAUGUGGUCCGACCAUUCUCAGUGAUGGCCGAAAAGGCUGCCAUGCAAGUUGAUACUGCAUCAACCAUGAUGUUUUGGGUAAAAAACCUAGAAGGUGGUGUUGAGAGAGAAGGGACAGAUAGAAAACCUUAUACGUCAUUUUUCUUAUUUUUUUACAGUUAAUUUUGUUAAUUUGAGCACGAAUUCCAAAUUAGGUUACUUUAUGUUCAAAUAGAGUUACUAUAAGUUUAUUUUUCUGUUCAAGACGGGACAAAAGCAGCUAGGAAAGAACACUAACCAGUAUUGCUAGUAUUAAAGCACCUGGCUCUAGGAACACUAGUGAUAUCAUCCAAAAUAACUUUUAAACAUAACGCAUGAGGAUUUUGGAGAGUGCAAAUACCUUUAGCAUUAAGGCUGUGUUUGGUGCCCUGGAUUAGAUUUGAUUAGAAAUCCAAUCAUGAUUUAGCAUGACUAGAUUGGAUUGAGGAUGUCCUACUGCAUAUCAGAUGACACGUUUGGUGAGGCACACUCAUAUAUAGAAGAUUGAAAAUGACAAAAAUUUGCUAUUUGCGUUUUUUUUUCUGUUCUAAUUUUUUUAGCCUCACUUCAAACACUCACUAAGAUCAAAUUUGAAAAGCCCAUACCCUAAGCAAAAGUGUUGCAAUACAUACUUCUAGUGGAGGAAUUGGAUGAAGGGGAUGAUCUUCUAGAUGUAGAUAUUGAUUUUAUUGUUUUAUUGAUUCACUUCAAUCAUAUGGUGGUUGUGAAUUAGAAAGUGAGAAUGAAAGAAUUGAUGAGGAGGAUAAGAACAUGAGGCAUGAUCUAGCAAGGAAAGACCCGCGCCGGCGAUUCCGGACCGAUCUCAAGGAUGAAAGCUAGGGUAUUCGCUUGUGACGGCUGCGAUCCUGUGUUGUUUCGAUCAAGUAGUGGUAGCGAUGAUGCUGUUGGAUCCCCGAGAAGGUGUGGAGGGUAACGACAAUUGUUAAUAGCGGCGGGGGCAGUGAAUUCAAGGCUGCGGUUGGUAGGAUUAAGUGGUGGCUGGGUGUGAUUCGGGUCGAGUUCGAUGGUUUUGAUCGCAUUAAUGGUUUUUGUUUGGAAAGAUUGGCUGCUGGGUGUGGAAAAUCGCCUUAAAUGGGGUCGGGAAACUAGAAUUGAGCAAAAGGAAAGAGACGAUCUUUUUUUGUUCGUCAAUCAAAAGAGUUAAAUCUGAAGCUGGAUAUAAUUAUUAACACCAUUUUAACAAGAUUUGUUAUCCACCUUUGACAAGAUUUUUGAUUUCCAACCCAUACAAAUCUGGGUCUCCAAACAACUCAUGUUCUCUUACAGGAUUUAUAUUUGCCUAUCCAGCAACGAUAUGGGCAAACAAACACAGCCUAAUUGUUCGGCUCUUGACUCACGAUGGAUGUGUUCAGAGUUGCUGAAAGUUACGUCAUUGAGAGGUUAAAAUUAUUACCAAACGUACAUUUUACUUUUUAUCUUUUGGGACCAAUUAAUCCCACGUAAAGAGCGAGCGACGGUCCAAAAGUCCCAAAUGGCAAUGGCUUCUCUUCAACCUUCAUGGCUCUCUUCUCUCGGUCUCUUUCCCUCCUCAAACCCCCACCAUUCGAAGUCAUUCAAGCUCUUCUCCUCUCUCAACUCACCAAAUCCACCCGAAACGACGACGCCCCCAGUCGACCCUGCCAAGUCGUAUAAGAAGAACCCAAGUCCCGCGAACAGGGAAUUGCCUCCUGCUCUUAAGACUGCAAUGGAGAGAGCAAAAGAGUAUAAGCAAAAGAAGAACAACGUUACUAACACAAAUCCAGGUAAAUUUAUUGAUCAAUUUCGAAGCAUGUAAUUUGAAAAUGUGGGUGAAGACUUGAAGAAUUGUUUGACAGGUGGUGAGAGUGUCAAGGGGAAAUUGUCAGUGUCGAGCAUGGAUUUUGUGGGACUUGGGUUUGCGGAUAAGAAGGAGGGUAGGGCAGUGCCAGCUGGAUUGGUUCCAUUUACAGACGAUUUUGCGGAGGGGGACAAGUUGCCUGAGGUUGAGAUUAUUGUUGGGGACUCUAGUAAUUUCGGUGCAAGGACAAGCAAGCCUGAGCAACAGGCUCAAGGAGAUGACCCGGAUCUUUACAAGCCCAGGGUUUCCUCAUGGGGGGUGUUUCCCAGACCUAAUGACAUUUCGAAAACGGUAUGAUUGUUAAAAUGUCUCCAGCUGAGUUUAUAUCACAUAUUAGUUCCGCUGUAUUGUUUUGCUUAGUUACAUUACUUUGUUUUUGGGCUUAAGUACUUCUUUCUUUUGAUGUUCUAGCUCCGGUAGACUUAGAACUAUCGCAAUUUUAUGUAGUCAGAUAGGAGAUGAAAAUUGAAUUUGUAAAAGAAAAUAGGGGAUACGAAGGGGGGAAGGGGAGAACAGCAAGAAGACUCAAUGCCUUUACUAUUUUAUUUAUUUAUUAUGAUAUGGCGUAGGUUUGAACUUUGAAAUGAUUAGUCAUAACAUUUCAACACCUUGAUGUGAGUAUUCCCCGAUCUGUUGACUCUGUUCUCUUCCAAGUUCUGAUUCCAGCUGACGGGCGUACAUCUGGACUAUUAUGCAGAAACCAUCCUUUCCUAGAGUUCAGGGAACUGUUGGUUUAAAUCCAAUACUCUAGUUUGAAUUAGGGUUGUUUAAGGUAAAUACAAACUUGGGUUCCAAACAAGGUAUCCUGCUUACACACAUUUAACUGAGAACCAAACCGUGUAGACUUUCUUUCAAAUCAAUCAUAUUUUAAUUUGAUUUACUAGUUUAUGCUAAUCUGAGCAAUUAAGAGAACAAGAUGGAACAGGUCUGUUUGUAUGUUAGAAUGAACAAACCUAUAUACAUGCACAUGGACCUCUUAUAUUUGAAAAAGUCCUUGAGGAGUCAUGUUGCGUUCAAUCCUAUUAUGCAGCGAUAAAUCAGUCAACAGAUUUUAUUAUUAUUCUUGAUUGAAUAGUUUGGCUUCCCUUACGUAAUGUCUCUAUCAAAUUAUAUGGAAACACUAGAUGCAAAUAAAUUUAUUUUCAUCUUAAUAAGAAUUCUUUGGUUGACUCUGGAAAUGGCAAAUGGGUUGCUUAUAUAGUACAGCAUAUCAUGUUGGGAAUAUGGAUCACUUUGAUAGACCUUGUUUAGAAUUUCAGUAGAUCAUAUGCUUUUUAUGUGUUAGUUUGAUAAUGAGUCCAUGCUUUUUAUUUGGACUUUCUGAGUUGAUUGGAAAGUAAAUUAACGCAUCCUUCAUGCCAUUUGGUUUCUUUCCUUCAAAAUUAUCAUAAACAUAGGACAAUGAGAUCUAUUUUUGGGGUGAAGAUGUUGAAACUGUGAUACAGCUGAUUUUGAUACUGCUUUUAGGGAAAUGGCUUGAAAAUUUACUUGACUUCACAGAGGUUUCUUUCUUUGAUCAGUUUGGUGGUGGGCGAGUUAUACGCCCCGGGGAAGUGCUUGAAACAGAGGAAGAAAAAGCUGCUAAAGAGGCACGAACAAGACAAUUAGUUGCUGCUUACAAGAGUAAAAUGGGCUUGAACAUUGAUCCAAAGCUCAGACUGGACUGUGAGAAGGUUUGCUUCAUUAAAGUUUUCUGUCUUUUUCUAGUUGAAUUUAAAAGUUUUUUUUUCCCCUUGCCCCCCUUGAUUUUGUUGUCUUCUUAAUAAUUUGGAAGCUUACUCUGUUUCGUUAAAGCUUGAUCUGAAAAUAAUCUUAUUGCGUUAUAUGUUUCAAGCUCUGUUUACAAGUAAGUUGAAAGAUCCACUCAUUUUUUAUGUCUGAGUUAUAUACUCUAAUAUCACAUGAUUCUGGAAGUUCAAAUGAUACUUAAUUUAUUUGGCUAUUUGCAACUUUGAAAUCUUUAUCCAAGUAGGAAUCAUGUUGGGAAGUUAGGUCAGUACAGGUAAAUCAAAUUCUUCUGGGUUAUUAUAAAGGGAUUUAAAAUUAUGUUUAAAUCAUGUUGGGAAGUUAGGUCAGUACAGGUAAAUCAAAUUCUUCUGGGUUAUUAUAAAGGGAUUUAAAAUUACGUUUAAAGCUUUUUGUGAAAUUACAGUGAUGGCAGAUUGGUUUAUAGGGGUUAAUGUUGGUCUAUGGAUGAACUAAAGUUGAACUAGAUGCUUUGAGAAACCUAGCUUUUCAUGAAAUUAAAUUUCAUGAUCCCUUGUCAAUACCUUUCUUUGGCCACACUUUGGUCGCCCUCAUUGAAUGGAAGCUAGAUACUGGGUAAUAUAUUUAGAUUUUGGUAUAUGAUCAACUUAUGGAGGACAGUAAAACAUGUGGCAAUUCUGUAAGUUGUGUAUCAUUGUUAUAAAUUGUAGCUAUGUAAAGAACUAGGAACUUGGGGAGAAAUCCCAAGAGAAAAGAAGGGACUUCUUAUUUCGAAUAAAAAGAAGAGAAAAAAAGAAGGAAUUUCUACAAUUAUCACACAAGUAUGAAUAUGGGGAGCCCUCCUUGGAACCUUAGGCAUCAAACUUGGGUUAGAUUGCAUCUUUGUGUCCUACAGAGAACCAUAUUCUAACGGGAACAUAUGUUGGAUUCAUUCAUGUGAAAACAAAUAUUUAUAAGCCUAUACAUGGAGUGCUGUAAUGAUAUUCGUUUUCGAUAAAACUCAGACUCCUUAAUAGUAAUGAAAGACACUAGAGAUAUGGUUUCUAAUUCUAGGUUUCUCCAUCACAAUAAAAGCAGUGUUGCUGCAGUUGGGAUUGAUCCAACCCAAAUGUGCCAGGUCCUAAGUUGGUUUAACAUGCUUUGGUUUAUUCCUUCUUUCCCACACCUUUAGUAAAAUUUUAGAGAGUUCUGACUUAUCUUCUUCAUCAGGAAUAUCAGAUGCAUUUUAUGGUUGCUGUGUACAAGUUUGUCGUCGUUGACAACUUGACAUUCAUUCUGUUAUUUGAUCGUACUCGAAUGUUUGGUUGAGAUAUUUUAGGUUUGGUACAAGAGAUACCACAUGUCUUCACUUAUCUUAAUUAGAUCACAAAUAUGUAAAGAUAUAGACCCGAGUCUUGGAGUAAUUAUUCCUACGGUAACAAUAUUAGACAAUUCGGGAACCCAAAUUCUUGUAAACGUUCAGGUUUACAAGAAUUGUAUACAACAAUAUUUUGAUGUUAUGUUUGUGUUGACAUUUUACUCGUUAUCAUCUCCUUUUAAAGAAAUUCAUUAGAACAAUAUCAUUUCCUAAAAUUGAUAAAUGCUAUGCAGACAUUAAAGGAUGGUGACUCAUUGAUGAACGUUGGAAAGCUAAAGGAAGCAUUACCCUACUAUGAGAAAGUUAUGGACAAGUUACCGUUUAAGGUAAUGCUUCUUGCACAUGUUCAAAGGAAGAUUACAAAUGAUAUUUGGGCUGUGGUAUAAGACAUCAUACUCUUUAGUUCUAUGCAUAUUAACAUAUCCGGAAAUAGUAGACUAGCUCUGUACAGCAUAGACCGGAUCCAUGCAACAGGCCAACCUAGUCUACCACUGCAUGAAGACAGUUCGUUAACAUAUUGUCAUAUCGGUAAUCGGUACCACACUAUGGAUCAGUCUAGCACAGUACCGAGCCGGUGUACUUCAUGUACCAAGGCAUUUACUGUAGGAAAACCUAGUUGUUGGUAUGUCAAGACUUGAUCAUGGUGCUCACUAUAGGAGUUUUUAUGUAUGGGUGCUCAGUGAAACUGAGUUAAAUGGUUUACCACAUCAUUAUCAUAGAGCAGGCAGAAUUUUGGGUUGGAAAAUUCUGAAUCAAAAAUCUGCCAUUCACUGAUACUGAAGACUAGUGACAGUGAAAUAGCAAUUACUGUACAGCACACUUUUGGAAUUUUUUUUUUCUUCUAGAAAUAUGCAUCAAGAUCAUAUUGUGCUUUUUCUGGUGCAAGUGACGAAAUUUAGGAAGUUUCUGCAGUUCAGUUACUUUCAGUUGCAGUUCAUCACUGGCCUACUAAGUAGCUACUUUGGUUCUAAUUUUUCUUGGUAUUCACAGUACAGAUAUGUCUCUUGAGCGUUAAGUUUAAUGUCAUAGUUUAGUUUGCAUAUCCUCCAAUAAAUGAGUUUGUCAAAGAUGACGGUACCUUUUUUUUUUUUUUUGGUUUUUCUAGUGACAGAACUCCUAGAUAGACUAGCAACACCAAAGAAAGAAGAACUACUUCGCAGUAGCAGCACAACAACGUUGCAAUCUAAGCACAUAGGGACAAAUGAGCUAUUUAUUUAGUAUUAGUAAACACCAGACUUUGAAAAACAUACUAAUUUGACAAGGGGGAUUCCAUCCUUAGUUUUACUAUUACCAGUGCCUGAUUUUAGCUACUACUGUGGUUAAUAAUCAAGAUACGUAUUAAGAUGAACCAUGGUUUUUGCAUUAAGGUCUUUCUCUUCAUGCACACCAUUAUUCAAACCACCAGCCGUCCUUCAUGUCUUUUGUUAAUAUUCUUAAAUUUUUACAAAAUUGGUUUUACAGAGUGAUCUUCAUGGGCUUGCUGCUUUACAGUGGUCUAUUUGUCAAGACUCCCUGAGUAGGUACAUAUAUGUUAUCUUUGAUUAUUUACGCGCCUAUUGUAUAAUAACUCUAAUCCUUACAAGAAUUUUUUUUGCUUGUAUCUUACACAAUGUUUCACCCAUUGAUAUUUUGAUUCCUGAAAGCACUGUGUAGAUGUGUAUCUUUUGAUUUAUAAAGUUUAUAUACAAUGAAGGCACUUGCUAUCAAAAUGCCAAGUCUGCAUCCAAAUAUGGAAAAAUGUUCGUCGUUGUUGCUACUAUUUUACAUGUUUAAAUUAAUGCUAUAUGAAUAGGAUCAUGUAUUAGUUCCAUAGAGGUUGAUACGUAAAUGUUUUUCAUAUAUGGGUUACGUAUUGAACAUCUGGUUUAGGUUGCAUCAAUAUGUACCAACUAAAAUUGUCAUGUCCGUAAUUAAUCUGCUUUCAUUAUAGGCUUAGCCAACUAGAAAACUCUUUAAACCCUGGUAAAUAUUUAUGAUGCACUAAGCUGUGUUUUAGUAGAAAAUUUCAUGUGCUGUGAUUAGGAAUUAUAACAUCUUUGAUCUAGUAAGCAAGAAUGUAACUGCAACCAAGUUUUUCAAACUGAUUGCAUGCAUCCAAAUUCCAUUAUCACAUGGUUUUUAUGAGAUGUAACAUAUACCAUGUUUUAUGAUUAUCCCUUUGUAGGCUAGGGAUGGGAAUUAACUGUCUUGUUGUCUGUUCUGCUUUACCUAAGGAUUCUAAAUAGUAGUGAUGGUUGACAGGACAAAAGAAGCUCGAAAUAUGUAUGAAAGGCUUCAGUCCCACCCAACUGCUAGAGUAAGCAAGAAAGCAAGGCAAUUUAUGUUCAGCUUUCAGGUAACUAAGAGAUGAAGCACUGUACAUUCUUGGAUUCCCAUUUAGCAUGGAAACCAUAAAAGAAAUGAACCAUGACUACAGUCAUCACUAUCAUGCCCAUGCAUUUGGCUUGUUGGACAAGUUAGUAUUUCUGAUCCUAAAACCCAAAUGCAAAUCCGAAUGGUAGCAUAGCUUGCUGCAAAUGGUGUUUCACAUGUAAAAAUGUAAUAAUUUGAGCACGCAUGUUUUCAUAAUGUUGCUUUCAGUUUCACCUCAGACUAUAUUGAACUUUUGCAUCUGGCAGGCCAUGGAAAUGAUGAAGCUUACAAAGGCCUCACCUUGGAGGAACACCGACUACCAGAAUUUUUUCGAAGCAUUCAUUGACAACAAAUCUGACUAUGUGCUGGAAGAUGGUGAAGUCGAAGUAGGUACUCUGAGUCAGAUUCUCCCUUAUAUUCUUUUCCUUGUUUCUCCGAUUUUUAUAGUGUUACUCAUUGCCAUACAAAAGAGAAUAUAAAGGUGUACAUAGAAAUUAGCUACUAGUGAAACCAAAUUACCAAUUAUACCGUUCUAACUGUAUAUAUCUGAAACAUGACUUCAAAAUAAGACUAAUGGAGCAAUGCUUAUAUUCAAUACAGUGAAGCUUCUCCGAUUGUAAUUCACGUAGCUGUGUACAAUUACAUGAUGUAUUACCCUUCAUAUUUAUUUGUUGUAUGGGGAGCUUGAUUCGGUAUGAAUUGCCCUUCGUAUUUACUAAACAAAAAUCCCAAAAAAGGGUCAUUCAACCCCAGAAAACAUGUUAUGCAAAACAAUGUGCAUGACUAAUGGAAUCAAAAAACCAAGAAAGUCUUAAAUGCUUUAGAGCUUUGUGAUGAAAAUGUAGAGUACUAAACGUGGGGUUAUUGUAAAAACUCAUCUGGUGACCUUUCUUUCCUUCACAAAAAGACACAUUCAUGAUUCCUGAGCUUGUUCAAACGAGAAUCAAGUAAAUCGCCCCCCCCCCCCCCCCCCCCCCAACCCCCCACUCUUGUAUCAUUCUUUCUCAAAUACUACAUUGGGAAUUCAGAAGAGGAGCGUCUGUUUGUAAAUGGAUCAUUUUAGGGCAGUCGAGGGUCCACUACGGCCGACCACUGCCUUAUCUUUCUCCAAAGUGACGCCGCCCACCCACCUUUUAUGUCAAAUAUGUCCUACGAAUGAGAGAAGAUUGUAAAGAAAAAAAGAAAAAAAAAGAAAAAAAGAAAAAAAAAAAGAGAGAAGAUUGUAAACAAAGAAAGCUAGGCUCCUCUAUAUGAAAAUGAAAUGAUGCCGCUACCCUUUCCGAACCGUAUUUCUCAAUCUUGUGUAUUACUGUGUUACAACAAAUCCGAAAUUCUCAGAGGUUUUCUAGCACAUACUGGUAUGUCAAAAUGUUUCAUAUCAUUCGAUCAUCAAUAACCUUAACUCGACCACAUGUAGUGGUUGCUGUCACGUUCUUCCAAUGUACCAAAGAAAAAGAAAACUAUAUAUUAGCUACAUAAAAUCUAGAUUGCAGUAUACAUGUGUUGACCAUUGGAAAAUAAAAACAAACAUAGAUUUUAUUGAAAGAGAAAAAUAUACACAAGGUUGGAUUUUUUGGAUCAAAUGUAUGCCUAGUUUUGGUGCAAACAAACCUUUUUUCUGUAGCUGCUACUCUUAGAUUAUGUUAAGUUACUUUUACUCGUCUCCCCAGUCUUUCGAGAGAUUGAAUCAUAAUUAGAGACCAAACAACUAGCUGCAUAGCUGAUUUUUUGAAAGAUUAUGAAUGGUGCCCAUCCAUCAACUACACCGAGAGCGAAGCUAACGAGUAGGAAAACCAACUAUUAACAACUAACCUUUUUUCCUAAUAUCAUUGAGCAUAUCACACUACUAUGCAAAUUGAUUUAUCAUAAGGCAAGAAAAUCUGAAUGGGCCUCAAUGAUCUUGUACCUAUAAAGAAGAGAGAGCAGCUAAUUACACAUUGCAUCACUAUUAUGCAAAUGGAUUAUGACCCUCUAGCUACUUCUCUUCUUAAUCAAAGAGGGUAUUUCUGUCAGGCCAGGCAAGGUUUGGUUCAGGGUAUUUCUUAAUCACAACUAAAUAUAAUAAGUCAGUGCCCUAAUGUGGACUCCUCAUGUCACAAGCUUGAAUUUGAUUAUUCAAUUCAUAAAAAGCAUAAGCAGAUAGCAAAAACAAUGCCUAAGAGUAGGGCCCAAACUUGAGCUGUUAGUGCAUGUCAGCAUCAGACUCUUGUCCUAGCCUUGUUCAAAUUCCAUUUCCCUCAGCAAAGUCACAGCUCAAAGUUAAACAAAAAGGCCACCCACUGCAAACCAAAGAAAAACCAGAACAAGGAACCCCAAGGAAUCUCUGGUUCUUUGGGUUCCAGGACUUCCUUGGCUUUUGCUUCUGCAAGUAAUUUUCCAUCAAAACAAACCAUGCCUCGAGAGGUAAUUAGUCAUCUUUCUCAGCUUUGAUUCCCCACCUCAGAAGGGAAGACAUAGCCCUCUUCUCCCUUAUUGUCUAUUUGUCUUUGCUUCUGGUUUUCCUUUCAACAUGGUCCAAAGGAAGGUACAAACCAAGCUUGCAAUCCAAGUAGAUCCUAAUGUCAAGUUCGAGAAGCGGUUGGUAAACCUUAAACCAUCUUCUCAGUUCCAAGAUGGCAAAAAUAGAGGAGGAGCUGAUUUGAAGAAGAAGAAGAUGAAGAAGUCAAGAUCAACCAAGCUUUCAGAUAUUGACAGCUUGAGAUCACCAUCACCAUCUUCAUCACUUCCUUUGAGAAAUAGCAUGUCCCUGCCCGGAAAGCCACUGCCUCUCAAUGUUCAAAGCAUUUCAGCAGCAGCAGUCCCUCUGAAGCAGGCUCUCACCAAAACAACUGAUGGCUCAGCACCAAACUAUAUGAAGUCCACCAGCUGUUCAGUUGCAAGGAAGGAGCAAUCACAGGUUAGUGUUAGAAAUUCUCCGGUUAAUUCGGAUAGUAGGAAUCAAAACCGAAGAAAUUUGAGCAACUCAAAACUUAGCUCUGGCUCUAUCAAUAAACCAGCUCGGACAUCUAGUCUGAAGUUGGUGAGAACUCUAAUAAAGUCUCCUAGUUUUAAGCCUGCAAGAACUUCAGCCAAGAAAAAUUCCAGGGUUGCUCUUUGUGAAGAUGUAAAUAUUCAGAAAGCAACCUGUUCUUCAACACUGAAGGACUCCAAGUUUCCCGAGUAUCUGAUGAUUAGUCCUGGCGGAACAGAAGCUGAGGGAACUUCAGUGAUGAAGGUUUGCCCCUAUACUUACUGCUCUCUCAAUGGACAUCAUCAUCAACCUGUGACUCCACUGAAGUGUUUCUUGUCGGCACGAAGACGGUCUUUGAAGAACCAGAAGAUGGUGAAACUGCAAGCUCUAAGUCCUCGUAAAUCAAAGCCAUCUAAUAAGGGAAUGAAUGAAAAUGGUUUGAAGCAGAUGUGUUUUAAUGAUAAUGAAAAACCUGCUCAACAAGAAGUGGGGAUCGAUUACUUUGUUGAAAUAUUUGCUAAAAGCAAGGACGAUGAUGCUCAAACAAUUGUGAAGAAUAUACCUGAAGCAGAAAUUAUAGAUAGCUUUCCCGGGGAGGAGCAAAAAGAAGAUGUGGCAGAUGAAGUAUACCAACCUCUGGAUCAAGAAGCAGAUGAAGUAUACCAACCUUCUUUGGAUCAAGAACCUGCCAUGCGAAGUUGUUCGAGUGAGAGUGAAUCGGAUGGACUUUCAAGCAUUGAAGUGGAUUAUGCCAAUUCUGAAGCAACUGAGAUGGAGUGGGAGGAAGGCCAAUUUUCCGUUGCAGUGCUGGAUGAUGAAUCCGGUUCAAAAGCUGGGCUUUCAUCAAUUCAAGAUGGUGAUAUGCAUGAAGAACCUGUGAUCAAGUUUGAUGCCAUUGUUAGUAACUGCAACGACAUCAUUCAUGAUUACUAUCAAGUACUGCAAGAACUUUUCGAAGAGACAACUCCAUCAGUUGAAAUUCAAUUAAACAAUGAUGGCACAAAACAAAAUUUGGACACUGAAGAUUCUGAUAGAAUGAGUUACGACCAAUAUUCUUACACUGAGGAUUCAUUUGAAGAGGACAAUGAACUAUCAGAGACAGAAAUAGAGAUAUCUUCAUCUUCAGUAGAGGAAGCAGCAACUGGUGAGGAAAUUCAAGAGAAACCUGGAGUUCUCAAAGCAGAGGAUCAGGAAAUGGAGUCCCAUCUUGGAAAUGUUGAAAGCCACUGCACUGCUGCUAGUGAGACAGAUGAAGCUGCAGAUAGCCAACCAGGGAAUGAAGAUGAUGGAACAACUAUGUCAACAAGUAACCAAAUUUCUAAUGCCACUCAGGAUAACAGCACAACAUACGGAGCUGAAACAAAUGAAGAGAAAGAGAACUCAGGAAUAGAUCACAAUGUUGUCAUGGCUGUUUCAGGAAAUCAAAUGGAAGAGGCACAGGAAGUUGAUGAUUCAAAAUCCUCCGCAGAUACCAAGAAUCUCGAUUCAGCUAAGACUAUGGUUGUACACGAUGAAGAUGCUAAUAAGGUUGGUGAUAAUGCAGACACUGCCAAAGAUUAUAACUCAAGCCAAGAUAUUAUUGAUGAAACCACUUCUGUUAAGAGUGAAGAUAACUUGGCUGAUGGGGAGUACACAGAUAAUGCUAAAGCAGAGAAACAUAGCUUCACAGAUGAGGAUCAAAGUGAAUUUAAGAAGGAAAAGAUCUCAAGUUCCACUGAAGGUGAGGAACAUAGUGAUCUAAAGCUGAAGAAAAUAGGUUUGGCAGAAAACAGUGUCAGAUACAUUGAUAGAAUGGAAGUGGACAACAUUUCAAAGCCAGAUGCAGCAGAAACUUUCUUCAUGGCCACUACCAGUGCCAGUCCAGGGAUGAAGAGGAAGCUUUCCCAUAUAGAAAGCAAUUCUGACGAAGAACUGCUAAACACUAACCGGAAAUGGAAAAUCAACUGCAAGAGAACUAUCAAGGAUGAGGAGGAACUACAGAAAUACACUCAAACAGAACCCAAUUACCUGCCGUUGAUUCCUGGUCCUGAAGCAGAGAAGGUUGACUUGAGGCAUCAGAUGUUGGAUGAAAAGAAAAAUGCAGAGGAAUGGAUGCUCGACUUUGCAAUCCAGCAAGCUGUAACCAAACUCGCUCCAGCUAGGAAGAAGAAGGUGGCAUUGCUUGUUGAAGCUUUUGAAAAAGUCAUGCCAGCGCCAAAAUAUGAACCCCGUUUGAAGCAUUCUUCAACAGCCUUCAGUCAUGCAAGACCUAUGCAAGCUUGUAGCUGAUGGUAGUCACUGAGGUGAGUACAACAUAAUAACAUCCCAGAUAAGUUCAUAUUGGUAGUCGCUGAAAGGAAUUCAUAUCUCAUAUUGCUGUGUUAUACAAUUGCACAUACAGGAGGAAAUUUCAGAAUGCUAUAUCUACAAUGAGUCAAUGAAGUAGGAGAACCAGAGAAACAAUUACCAUUGCUCAGCUCCUAUCCGAAUUUCUAGAGAGGAAAAGCUUCAUGAAGUGAUGACACUCAACAUUUGGAAUAAAAUCUGAGAUGUGGUUAUUGUAGUGUACUUUUCACAAUAUUUUAUGUAAUGCCAGUUUACCAUUGUUAUGGUGUUGAAUCAGAUUUUAUUAAGCAAUAUUUUGCUGUUGCAAGAGGGGAUCUACCUCUCAGACAUUGUAAUAUUGCUGUUUGAUAUAUGAAUUGCAAAAUAACUGUUAUGUUUGUUCAUACGACAUAGAUUACAUAAUGCCAAGCGUAAGUGAGGGUCUUGUAGACAUCUCUCUUACCUGUAAAAAGGAGAGCCUUCCCUUACUGAUCUCCCCACACAUGUAGUGCUACAAAUGACUACUUGGUCACGCUUAUGGGGAAACAUUCUAAGCGGACGUAGUCUUCUCUCAAGGGAGAGGUCUCUCAUGCAUGCAUUAACUGCUGCAAGUAUCCUGUAAGUUGCAUCUUAUAUGUCAAAAGGACACUACGAAUCUAAACAGAGAAACAGGAAAAAUUGUUGACUGAAAUCAUCUUUAGUUUAGUAUCAAGGGAGAUUCACUUCUAACUGUUCCUCAUAGUUUGUAUUAUAAGCAUGAUCAUACAUAAAGAUCAUCAAGAAAACUGACCAAACAGCAAAAAAUGCACAAUUCUUAAAAAUUUGAACUCGAUUGUUGGUUUGUACCAUGUAGUGUAGCAUAAUUUAUCAAUUGUUCUUUUACAAAGUUCAAAUAAUUACAAAAUUACAGCGCUAACUUCUUGUCUAUGGUAACUUGACUUUGAUUCCGGGAGACUCCAAAACAAGAGAACAGAGCUUUAUGGAGUAAUUUCCUAUACUGCUAUGGUCUAAUGUUUGCUCUUCCAAACCAGUUUCAGGUUCAAAAGAACUAGUCUCUGAACUUUCAGUUUGCUCUCUAUCUUUUUUACUUGUUAUUUCAUUAUUAAACAGCCUAAGGUCAUCUGUUGUAGAAGUAGAAUGAACAGAUUAAUACAGUCCAUGAACUCGAGUUCUUUCUUCUUCAGUUUCUACCAACUUCUCCCUUAAACCAUCUGGAAGGGAAGCCAAAAUACUUCAUACGUUGAAGAUAGACAAGAAUAAGGAAAAAGAGAAAAAAACAUAUACGAUGUACAGAGAAAAAAGAAAUAAUUGCAAGCGGAAAAUGCUAGUGUUAUAAAGAACUAACAAUAAGAAAUAAAAAGUUUUGAAUGUUUAUCUUACCUUACAACACCUCUUACAAGACCCCAGUUGAAACCAACAAGGACUGAUUGCUUAAAGCCAAUAUUGAAUCCCUCCUGAGAAGAUGCUUCCUUUCCCGCCAUAACACCAUCACGGUAUCCCAUCUGCAUAUUUUCCAAAAUUAAAAUUAAGGAUGGAUCAGAAGAAUAGAACCACUUGAUAUGAAAAAUAAAGAGAAAAAAAAAUGUCUGAACAAUAAAACAACCGUAUGGAAUUGGUCAUGUCUCCUCUGCCAUUGCUUGUCCAUAUCAGAUGCUACAUUCACUUCAUCAUCAGAACCAUACCAUGAAGAUUCAUCUUCAUCUGACAACUGAACCUUACCAUGAUCUGAAACCAACCGUUGAACAAAUAACUUAAUAGUAAAAUCAGCAAAACUACAAUAAUCAGCUGAAUCAUAGCAUGAACAAUAAUCAAAGGCAAAUGUAGAAGAGCAACAAUUUUCACAUGCAAAAUAAAAACUGUCAAUAUUUCAAGCAUUAUUUUUACGUCAAAUAAAACUCUCCGAGUCAUCUAGAAGCAGACACGAUACACAAUCUACAGAGCACAUAUGGAUUAUAUGAACUAAAUGGAAAAGGUUACUUCCAUAUAGAAACAAUUUAGAUAUUUUCCAUAUAUUCAAUCUUGCCAAGAGUUCAUAGAGUUGAGGGAAUAAAGGAAGGUACACAAAUUUGUUGUGGUUCUCACAGAAAAUCAUCUGGUUUCACCCAGAUAACACAAUGCGUUUACUUAUCAAAGCCCCACGGUAGGUACACCCCUAACCAUGUAGUGAUAAUAAGCUUAUAGGCUUAUAGCUAUCAGCAAAAUCUAAAUCAGUGUUGUAAACUUUGAGAGUAAAGCUCUUGAGCGAAACUGCCCUCCAUCUCUAGAAAAUAGAAACAUAGGAACGCAACCCAAAUCAGUGUGUUGCAAUAAGGCAAUGAACUCAAGUAAAUUUUAACUAAAGAAACUGGCAAGUCAGAGAUUGGAGAAUGAAAACAUACCCCAACUUGAAGAACAGUCGCUUGGCUUCUGAUGCCUUCUAGUAUAUCCCAGAGCUUUUGCGCGAGGUCAAGGCAAGUGUGCAGAGUCCGGUCUUGUUUAUUUAUUUAUUUUUGUUUUUUGUUUUUAGAUAUUAACUGGGUGAGAAUUAUUUUUUGUUUUAAUUUACUCAUCAUAUCCUCCGGUAAUAUCUUCAUAGUCGCUUUAUCCAUUGCUUAUUUACUCGUAAACAUUAACUUCUUUUGGAGCCAGUGUGAUUGAUUUUGAUGGCGUGGUGGAUUGGGAGGCGUUGUGAGAGAUUUUGAUGGCAUUGUUGUGGCUGGUGCGUGCGCACGAGUUGAUGAUACAAUUGGCCAUGGCUGCUGAGGCUUUGGCAUGCAGCUUAUCUCCUGUUCUAUUGGAAUCUGAUUUGUGGCAUAUCGUUUUAGACCUGAAUGUUACUUCUUCUAAUCUUCUUCUUGUUAUCCUUGGUUCAUAAUGGGUGAUUCAUUAUAUUUUGAUUCUAGAUGAGCAGAUUGGAGGUGUAAGAUGCACUAUAGAUAUAUGAUUGGAAUAAUUUUACUUGAGGUAACAAUCAUUUAGAAUACAACUGUUGCAGAUAGUGUUGUCCUAGCUCUCUCUGUUCCCUCAUGUGUCUUUAACUAAUGUACUUAACUACUUAUUGGUGGAUCUGAUCAUGGUGCAAUUUACUUAGCCUCCAAUCCUAGUCUACUUUAAGCUCAAGGCCAUGUGGGGGCUUUCUCAUCCUGAUAUAAAAUUUGAGGUAAAUAGAACUUGGCUCAUUGGCUCUCAUGGAACUUGCUACUGAGACGUAAUUUUUUUUGUUACAAGCUACAGUGUGGCUAACCAACCUAGUCUUCAAAAAGUCUACGCCAAUUAUAGAUAUGACAAAGUGAUCAUCUCAACUAUCACACAAUACCACUACAAACAAACUGACCCGCAUACGUUAAUCCUAUAGUCAGACACAAGCAGAGGUUGGAUAUCUGUAUUGCCAAUUGAAUCCUUGCUGCUUUAGGUUUUGCAUCCCUCACUUGAUUGCUCAGUGCAGAUAUCACUCAUGCAAUUACUUUCACUCUCUUCAUCAGCUCAAUGAACUCUCUAAAAGCUGCAUAAAAAUUUCAUAAUUCAAAAUCAUUUCCGUAAAGUGAGAAAACAGUUGGCAAGAAGCAACUGGGAAGAGAUACUCAUGCCAUGAGCUAUAUAUUCACCUUAGAUCCCUAGAUUUACUAUGAAGAGUUCAUCAGUACCCAAUUGGUUUAAGAACCCAAAAUAUUUAAAUAUGGGUAGUCAUGAUCAGCAUGAACAAGCAUAGUUUAAAUUACCGUAAUCUGAGUCAUGAGGUCCGGGGGAUGCUUCAGGGUGGUACUGAAUAGACAUAAUGUUUCGUGCAGGAUAAGCAAUGCCAGCACAGCUUCCAUCGUUGAGAUUGACAUGAGUUACUUCUACACCAUCUGGAAGUGAUUUGGGGUCAACCGCAUAGUUGUGAUUCUGCCACAAUAUGAAAAGUAGAAAUGUUAAAAGACGGCAUUUCCUUAACUUCGCUAAAUAGCUUGCUGACAUGUUUUACUUCAGGAGGCAGUUCAAUUCUUUAAAAUUUCUAAUACAAUUUAAAAAAUUAUCACAUUCAACAAAACAGAGAUUUAUAGAAAUUACAAACCUGAGCGCUUAUCUCAACUUCUCCAGUACGAAGAUUACGGACCGGAUGAUUUCCUCCAUGGUGACCAAACUUCAUUUUAAAAGUUGUACCACCUAAUGCCAAGCCAAGCAACUGAUGGCCCAUGCAAAUUCCAAAAACAGGAACCUUUCCAAGAAUCUCCUUGACCGUUUCAACAGCAUAUGGAACAGCAGAUGGGUCUCCAGGGCCAUUGCUGAAAAGGACCCCAUCUGGUUUCAUCUUAAGAGUCUCCGAUGCUGGCCAUGUUGAAGGCACCACAGUAAUUUUGCAGCCAUAGGAAGCCAAUCGUCUGAGUAUGUUGCUCUUGAUACCAAAAUCAUAUGCAACAACCUUCAAUCCAUAAUCAUUGAAAAAUGUUAGUUGAGGCUGCGCUGCCAACCUUUGAGCAAUUGGUAAGAUUUCUUUGUAUUUUGCUUUCUAAUUCAGAAAGCAUCUAAUUCUUGUAUCUUUCAUCUGUUCACAUGUCAUCUGUCUUCUCAUUCUUGCAUAAUUUUCCUCUCUAUUUUAGUUUAAUACCAAAAGAAAAGAAAAGAGAAAUACCGAAAAAGACCACAUAAAAUUAGAACUUCUUGCUGACUUACACGAAAAGCCCCUUCAUCUUUUCUAUUGAGCUUGAAUUCCCACUCAGGAUCGGUUUUAUCAACCCACUCAUGAGGGGCCUUGCAUGACACGCCACUUAUUAAAUCAACCCCUGCAAGGUGCAAAGUCAACAUAAGAAAACAGGCACUCUUAACACUCUGCAUGAUUUUAAAUAACUCAAUGACAUACUUACCAACAAUGUCCCAUGACCGAGACAUCUCCAAUAGUUCCUCAUCUGUUUUUGUCUCUUCUGUGCUUAAAACACCAAUAAGGCUUCCAUCUUGCCUUAAUCUGCGGGUGAUAGCCCGUGUGUCAACAUCAUCUGUUGCCUAAUCAGUCAGCAUUAAAGGCCAACACCAGAAGUUAAAAGGGUAUAGAACAGCACACCAUAUUACAUGAUUAUGCAAUAUAUCAGUGCCUUAAAGACUAAUGUCAUGCCAUGAUUUAACUUACAAAUUCCCAUGAUAUUCCUUUUUGCUAGAUAAUCACCAAGAGUUUCUGCAGAUCUAUAAUUGGACGUACUGCAAAACAACAAACAGAAACAGUUCAUUGAAAGAAUUGAGAACAGAUCAAUCAGUGAAGCUUCCAAUGUUAAUGUCCCUAUAGCAGCAUCUAAGAAGAAUGCAUACCUGAUACUUAAACUUCUGAUCACUAGACCACCAAGGAAGCACUGCAUAGAUUCUUCAUCAUCUGAUAGGGAAACUAUUGACAUCAGGUUUCAACAUAUUUAACACUGUAUUAUACUUUAAUAUUAAGAAAGGAAACCAUACUCACCAAAAUUUACACCAGUGUUUCCAAUUUGAGGGUUUGUCAUCAGGACAAAUUGGCCAGCAUAACUGGGGUCUGUAAUAAUUUCUUGAUACCUGCAUAAAAAUGUAUCACCAACCUGAACUGAUAAUCCCCAACUAGAGCUAAGGUGACUACUUCAGUUAAUGCAAGCACUAAAUCUCCUUCAUCACUACAAAAGUGGGCUCCUCUUCACUCUCAUAUGCAGAAAGAUAUGGGAGUUGUAUAAAAUUUUCUAGGGGAAAGCAAGCUUUUGCUGUUCUUGUGGCGGAUGAGUAAUGCACCACUGGAGAUGGAAGCCUCCACACCCAACAUGAUAGUUGAUAUAAUAAUAAAAAUUAGGAAACAUGCAAAUUUUAUAAGCCAGCUCACCCGGUCAAGGAUGUAUUGAAUACAACUUCACCAACUUGGGUUCCUGAAGCACCAAAUGAUUUUGCUCUCCAGAUUGAACCAUCUUCAAGCACGAGUCUAGCAUCUGAAGUUUUCCAAGGUCUUUUGGACAGGUCUGUUGCACAAGGAAUCUGACUAAAUAAAAAACAAAGAUGACAUAUACGUGACCAGCAUACUAUAAUUCCAUUGGUCUGCAUUGGCUGCGAGGUUUGAAGUGGGAUUUCGGGUUACAAAGGGACUCAAACAUGAUUACUUAAGUAAGUUGUUUGGUAAACUUUAGAAGGUUUUGAAAAGAGGAUGUAAUUUCCAAAUUCUCAUCUUCGACCACUUAAAUAAGCAGUACUUCCAAUCCGAGAAUAAUGGGAUUCUCAGAAAGAAAGCCGCUGCCACUAUCAUCUCUGGCACUACUAUUUUCAUCAUUAUGGACAGUUAGACACUACCCCCACUACCUGACCAACCACCAACACCUCACUGACUUUGUCAGCAUUACUCCCAUAGCCGUCACUGCUGCUACCACCACUUGUCAAAUUUACAGAUUUACGCAUCCAAACAGGUUAAUUAAAAGUUUGAUAUCUUUCUCUGGUUAUGUACUGAAACAAGAAAACCCAUAAAAUCCCUAUGACGUUAAUUUUAAGUAUUCAGAUACACAUCAUUAAGACCACCAGACACUCCUUCUAAACGCAUAGUCGGGGAAUCACUCAGAACCAAAAAACCGGGAACGGAACGAAACAAAAAAACAGCCAAGGUACUCUAAGAAAUAUCCACACUGUAAAAGUAUUAAAAUUCUGAAACUUUCAACAUAGAAUGAGACUAUAACAUAAAGCAUUGAGAUAUUAAUGUACAACAUAUACCAUCAUUAUUGGUUGUUAUUCAUCUAAAACAAGAAUAUUGAGCCUAAAAACAAGACCAACAUCCAAUCAAUUUUGAUAAAUCGACCUCACGGUAAAUUCAAAUCCAUUAUUGAAUCUUUUCGAGCCCUACAAUAAAAUAGAGAGAACAAUGAAGCAGAGUAGCAAAAGUGGCAUACCUGAGACGGCAUUAGUGGGAGCGGAUGAGCAUCUGAGAGUGAAAAUCCGAAUCUUUGAAGGGUUUUGAGGCUUGGGAACAGAGAAAGCCGAAGGCUUUAGGAGGGCCAAGUUGAAAGCUGCUGUGGCCAUUCUCACUCUCUCUGUCUCUCUUUUGAUGCUGUGAUUGGAGCUGACAGGGAUAAUCUGUUACUUUUUGUCUCUUUUUCCCUAUCAGCCAAUCUGAAAAUAAAAUCCAAAGGAAAGGAAUUCGAAAACAACCAAUUGAAAACAAUUUUUAGGAAAGUGUGUGUGUGGUCUUCAGACAUUGGGUUGCUUGUUAUUUUGGGUCGUCCUCUUCAUCAUUCAUUCAUUCCACCAUAUAAAGCAAAGCACAAAUUGAAAUUGUAUCUAUCAGCAACUCACCCUGAUUCAACUGAAAUUGAAGAAGGUCGAGCUGGACGGCGAAGCACACGUUGACGCGGCGGUUACAAAUAGGGUUCCGGAGGAGUGAGGAGAGAAUUUGUCUGGGUUUUGGGGAGAGCUAGAACUCAGAAAGGACAGGUUUUAGGAAAAACCAUUUUUUUAUAUACCCUCUUCAAAAAGAUUUGAAACACAAUAACAUCUAUUUACAUUAUUUUUAAACAAAUAACGACAAUUUUAAUAAUUAAAGACAAAUUCUUCUUUGUCUAUUAUGUGCUAUUUCCUAGUAGUCUGAUAGUUACCUCAUUUGCCAUUAUGCGAGUUAGAAUGGAUCACUCUCUACUACCCAUGAUUGGUAAAGAGAAUGAAACGACAAUAAUAAUGGAUUAGUUGAUCGACCAGGUUUGUAGAGUAAAUCAAACAGAGGUUAAGGUCACAAGAAAGUUGAAAGUCUUGUAUGUGACGAUCUCUGAGCUCAUGUUGCUUUAGUGGUUGCUGAUUUUUAAGUGUUUUUACGAAAAACGUGGAUUAUAUAUAUAUAUAUAUAUUAGAAAAAUAAGUACAGAAUUUUCAAACUUAACAUGAUACGGUCGGCCCUUAUUGACAAGCAAGGAUGAAAACUCGCCUCUACAACAAUGUUGCAGAUUUUGAGCAUGUGGUUAGCGAGCGGGCAUAGGAGAUACUUGAUCUAGUUUGACAUAUUAUUUUUUAACCCCCUAACUAUCUCGUGAUCUUUGAUUUGAUCGAACUUCAAAGUUGUUAAACUUUUAUUGCUUUCUCUUUUAUUAAUUUUUAAAUACAAAAGAUAUGUCAUCUUCAGACGCGUCUCUCAUUUUUCUAAUUUUUUUUUCCCUCUCCAUUCGGACCAAGCCACCGACGCUACUUUUUGUAUUUAAAGUGAUUCGUGUAUCUAUCGACUAUCCUAAUUAGACUGUUGUUCGGUACCAUUAGGGAAGAACCUACCCCAUCCUUAACUCCUUAAGUGAUAUUUGACUCCAUGAUCUAUGUUGUGUUAGUUAGAGUCCCAUUCAAUUAAUACACCGAUAUAUCUUUUUCGCUAGUUGCUCAAUCAAGUUUAAGGUUUUCUAUUCAUGGUAUCAUGAGGAGUAACUUUCUCGUUUUGUGUAAUGUUUUUUUAUGGGUGAGAAAUGAAUAAUUAUUAAUCAAAGGAAAAACCCACAUUAUAAACCCUACAAACGGAAGGCCAAGAAACUACAAACAAUAAAGGGGUCUCCAACUCGAUUAAACUAGAAAGAGUGAGAGGAGACCAACAACUCGUUAAAUUAGGGUCCGGAGGUCCAACAACCGAAUACAUAAAUGCAACAAUAUCAAUCAAUCUACCACUUUGAGGUGUUUAACUAACAACUUUAAGGUCAUAAGUUCAAACCUCACUAGACAUAUGUAGGGGUGAAUUAUUAAUAAUAUAUAUAUAUAUAUAUUCAAUCUACCCACCCACCGCCCAUACUUUCUAGUAUUGUUGUUGCCGUCGUCGCUAGUUGUUGUAUAGUAGUGAGGAGUAUUGAUGCCCGAGUAACUGCUGCCAGUCAAAUCUCAAUACACAAAUCAUAUGAAAACCCAUGACUUAGAUGAAAAGCUCCCUCAAAAAAACACCAUAAAAGCCACCCGCGAAACCCAAUACAUGAAGUAGCUGUGGCUGAUGAAAGAGGACCAAAAACAAGAACAAGAACCAAAAACAAUAAACAUAACCAAAGAAAAUGAGGGGUGAUGAACCCACACUUGAGCACCAUAAUCCAAUAGGUAAGUGCCAACUCGCACUUUAAGUGUAUAGUCACAUAUUUUCUCAUGAAGAAUAUCGCUAAUAGUCGAUGGGUUUUUCUGGUAAUGGGUAAUCAAUAAUCUGGAAUAAGUUAGGAUUGUCUGACAACGGUAUAAGGAACCUGAGUCCUCUCGAUCUCGACUAAGCUAGUAAUAUCCACAAAGAGAAAAUGCACCACAAGGAUGAUAAGGGUUCAUAAACAUGACUUCCAAAAUAACUUGAAAUCACAAUAAAAACAGAAAUUAACAUAGAUAUCUCAUGAGGGACCAAAACCCAAACCCAGGCCAUGAGAUUCUGAGGGGCCAAUCAUGGGCAAGAGAGACCCAAACUGUAUGGUCCAUACAGGGUGAGACCUGACCCAUGAAGCCAUGGCCCUUCUAGUCAUUUCCUUUGGUUGCACCAGAAAUGUCGCUCCACCACUGCCUACGACACGUCGUAGAGAUCAGAAACGUCCCCGGGCUCCAACUAGAAGAUCUGAACCACCGUGCCAAUAACUUCGUCGUGUCGUUGUCGUCCGGCGAUUGAUGUCAGAAUCCGUUUCAAAAUCUGAGACUAGAUGUAGAGAGGAAUCUGCCAUCCUAAACUGCCGGUGUGGCAUCCUACUAAGCCACCGUGCUCCAGUCGCUCCUAUCCAUCUUGCGACACAUCCUUCAAGAUCCGGGUCUGACGCAGAAGACCUGGCCUUGCAGACUUGCCGACGAGACAACCGGUCGAACCACCGAUCCGGUCAGCCUUUCGAACCACCAGCACACAGCCACCAUGCUUAUAUUAGAACUCACCCACCAACCCUCAUAUGGAAACAAAUGAAAAUCGAAAUCCGAAUCUGGAGCAGCCAUCCAGACCCGCCAGCGAAACUGUCCAUCGAACCACCGACAACAGCCUAACCUCCAAUCUCCAGUCACCCUGAUGUCCUCCAAUCUCUCCACCUGUGUAGUCUUUGACCCAGCACAAUUCCAUGACUGAGAAAAACCAAAUCCAGAUUUGUACAAUACCGUCAUCCUAGCCAUAGAAAUGGAAUCUCGGGUGUCUCUAACCGGAUAAGAGCUAGAGACACCUGAGGAAUUAGUUUACGCACGUGAGGCGCAUUCUCUUGGAAAAGAAAAGGGAGCGUUUUUUUGGUCCAGUAAACCAGUCUAUUUUGUAUAUUUUUAUUUUUAUUUUUUUAUCAAUAAAAUUUUGCUUCAAGAAAAAAAAUAGAAAUUCAGAGGUAAAAUAGCUCAAUAGAUAACCGGCUAACUUGGUAUGAUAUCACUAGGGCUGACAAUUUGGGCCAUGUCGAAACCAACCAACCGAGUACCAACCGUACCAACCUAGUUGGUAUACUAAAUACUUAGUAACCGACUUACUUGGUAUGGUAUACCGUACCGGUCUUGGUAACAUGGUUGAUACUUGAUAUUGAGAUUUUCAUACCAUCGGUAUACCGUACCAACCAUAUGUGUAAUUAUGCAAAAAUACACCUAUAUCUAUGUAGGAAAUGAGAAUUGAACUUCUAACCUCUUAUAAACAACCUAUAAAAUGUAUAAUAUAUGUAAAAGCAAUUAAAAUAUAUGUAUAAUAUAUAAUAUAUGUAUUGUUUUAUAUUUAUAACAUACUAUAGAUAUAAAUACAAUUAAAAUAUAAUUUUUUAAAAUUUUAGCAAGAGAUAUGUUUCAAAACCAUGACUGCUCUGAUGGAAAAUAUGUCCACAUACCAUCAGACCAAAGCUAUCAUUGCAUUAUAUUUGUGAAAAAAUUAUAUUUAUCACUUCAUUUUUUGGGGCCACAAUCUAAACUUGGUAGAGGCUUAUUACCAAUCGUACCAACUCAGUCGGUAUACCAACUUCGGUGGUUGGUUUUGGCAGUGGAUUUUGCCUACCAAUCAUAAAUUGGUUGGUAUAUGGUAUUGGUAAAUAAAGUCGGUAUACCUACCAAUAUCAGCCCUAGAUAUCACGAUUGUUUAAAAUUGUUAUAAAUUGGUCAAGAAGUUGUUCUACAUUGUUGUACCAAUAUGUUAAUAUAUAUGUAACUUUCAUUUGGUUAACCUGAUUGGUUUAACAACUCGUCACUUCAACUUCUGAAAAGUAGUAGAAAGUGACUGCAAUAAUCUAGCUAAUAUAAAUUUUCUAAAUAAAGAAAGCAUAAAUUUCCCAAUCGGGAUCAUCUAAAAAUAUUAACACAGUUAAGAACCUCUUCGAUCUUAAUCAAUAUAUUAGUUUUGUAUCAGGUAGUUUUAUACGUUAAUUUGGGAUCGAUGAAACAUAGACAAUGAAAGAUGAUUAGAUCAUGAACUGUUAUGGUUACUAUGUCUAUGCUUGUUUUGUUUUAUCACCCUUUCCAUAAAAUAGGACGGUCGACGAUCAUAUUACUCCUAGUUAUUACUAAAUUGCUCAUCACCACCUAUAGCUCACAAAUGCCUACCGUAGAAGUCUUCAUCACCUUGCUCUUCUUCUCCUUCUUCGUCUUCCUCCUUCCUAAUCAGAUAUCAGCAAGCACUACUAACUGUCGUAAAUCAAAAUGUAUGAGAAACGAACCACCCGUGCAUUUCCCGUUUCGGCUAGGAGACCGCCAAGCCACAUAUUGUGGUUAUGGUCAGGGCUUCAAUCUCUCAUGCAGCUUGGAACAACGAACCAUCCUCAGCCUCUCGUAUUCAGGUGACUUCAUUGUGCGGGGCAUCGACUACGAUGACCAGCUCGUGUGGAUCGACGACCCCGAAAACUGCUUCCCUAAGCGGCUGCUCGACGGUGACUUUAGUCUUAUGGACUCUCCCUUCACGUACUUGUACGGCCUUGAAAACUUUACCUUCCUCAAUUGCUCCUCGCAAGCAGAAAUUCGGUCUUCACCCAUACCUUGCCUCAGUGAUCAGUACUAUGGUGUCCUUGUUGUUCCUUCCAGCUGGUUCUAUGGUGAUCCCAAUUCAACAUCAACGACAUCAUCACUUUCUCCGGCAUCGCUGUCACCUCUUUGCUCUGUGAUUUCCACAGCCUUGGUUCCAAGGUCAAGUCCAGCUGACCCGUGGGAUAUUAACAUCGGAGUUCCGCUGGCGUGGGACAUGCCUGAAUGUCGUUCUUGUCAAGGAAGCAGUUGUGGAUUCGAGAAUUCCACAAGUUCGCAAAUUGUGUGCACUGGUGAUCAACCCUCACAUUCUUGGUUAUUUUUUUUUUUUUUGUCAUAAUAUAUUACUAGCUGAUAUAUAUUAAUUGUUGUCAUCAUAAUAUUACUAGCUAAUGAAAUCGUAUUGUAAAGGAAUUUGUCUGCAUAUAUUUCAGGUUCAGGUAUGUCAAACGCUCUAAGGUAUGCAAUCGUGAUAGGCUGUGCAGUACCAGCGCUAGUGUGCAUCAUCGGGGUCAUAAUUUGUGCUUACAAGAUGAAUGCUUCUAAUAAUCAAGCUCGCCAACCGGCCGUAACAGAAUUAUCAACCGUAGUAAGCCAACAACUUCCGAAUGCAACCGCCGUCGGCCCUCCUACUGCAGUUAGAAUGGGACUGGAUGGUGAGACAAUUGAAUCAUAUCCCAAGACUCAACUAGGUGAGAGUUUGGAGUUACCCAACCCUAAUGACAAAACUUGUUCGAUAUGUUUGUGUGAGUACCAACAUAGAGAAAUAAUAAGGACUAUACCUCAAUGCAAGCAUUAUUUUCAUGCUAAUUGCAUAGACGAGUGGUUCAAAAAGGAUGUAACUUGCCCCCUCUGCCGAGAUCUGCCCAAUUAUGAAGCGCUUGCAUUGCCUAGACCGCCCUUGCAUGAUACGAGUGCUCUACCAAGUAACGGAUCACUUGAUUUGCCUAGACCCGUCUUGCAAAAUACUGCUAAUUUUCUGUAUCUCGAUCAUAUGUAUUUGAUGUAGCAUCAAUGUUGAUGCGGAAAAAUUCAGGUAGAAGAUUUCCUCAUUAACCACUUUUAAAUGGAGCAGGAAUGAAAACUUUUUCGAUAGUGAUGUAAAAAUGGGUUGGGAAUUCAGUGGUGAUGGUACCUGUCUCGAUCUAGAAUAUUGAAAAGGUGUAUUAUGGGUUUUUCUGAUUUAUUUUGCUAGGACUCACUUGUCCUUUCAAGAUCCUAUUCACAUUGUAUUUAUAGUUGUUACUCCUCGGUCACUUAAUGUUGUGCGCCUUACUCGCUAGUUAAGCACGAGUGGAUCCACGACUCCGUGUUAUGGACAUCAUGGGAAAUUCCGUUUCCAAUUUUUCUUGUUGACCAGUUCUAUUUCAUUUCGUCCUUAACUCGUUCCCUCCACGUCUCCAUCUCACGCGACUUGAUUCAACCAACACCCUAUCCGGUCCAAACCUGACUCGACCGCUACGUGAUCCAUCACUACAUGAUUUAUCUUCAACGUGACCCACUUCCACUAAGUCACGUCCAUUCAACGAUGCUUCAUCUCUCCUGUCUUGACUUGAUCAGCGUGCACCUCGAGUCAAUUCACCCGCAAUUUGAUUCAACCAUUACUCGUUUUGUUCUGCUCACGGCCAAGGCAGUUACCCAUUUACUUGCAACCCAAUUUGACCGCCACACAAUUCACUCACGGCCCAAAUCCAUUUGCCUGGUCGGGUUGGGACUCGUACCUUUUUGGGGCCAUGCCAGAUUUGACCGCGACCAGAUUGAUCACGAGAUGAUCUUACUCCAAAUUUGACUUAUCAUGCAUAAAGGUAUGAUCUUACUACAUUUGUUUUACACAUUUAUAUAUAAUUGAACCAAGUUACUAUAACGACAACAAUUUGUUCAUAAACUUGUAACUUGUCUUAAGUUGAGUAAUUACGAGAACAGAUUCUAUGCAUCAAAUGUAUAAGUGCUCAAAUCACCGUAUGAGAAUAUCGAAUGAAUACUAGAGACCCUAAAUUCCUUCAUUUCAAUUUCAUUUUUGAUCUGAUCAAAUUAAACGCCCAUGAUAAGAGUACAUAUUCUUCGACCUAUUAUUCUGAUCACCUCCUUAGUUGGAAACACUUUGGACUAUUUUUUUUUUUUUUUUCAAUUUUGUUAACGAUAUUAGUAUAUAUGCAUGUAGUGUGACGUAGAUUACUGGAUCAAAAUACUGCAUAUUAGUUGUUCGGUUCACUUGCACAUUGAUACAUAGAAGAAUUUUUGAUUAAGAAAUCACAAUGCGCAUAUCCAGAUUAAAUCAUUUAAGACUAGCUGUGAUUCAAAAUUUUAACUUCUUUGACAAGAGUGAAGACUAAGCAUCUUGGCUAUAAUUAGUGGCCAAGCUUGUCUCUCUUGAAUUAUGGAACUGGUGGUUGUGACCAACCGUAACCAACUUAAUUUUCUAAUCUAACGAGUAUGCUUAAAUAGCAUCUGAUGCCAGAAACUACUACUAAUAGGAAUUCGAAACCAUAAAAAAGAACAAUGAAAAAGCUAAAAACAUAUUCAUCAUAUUAUGUGUCAGCUAGUGCGUAUUCUUUUUUGACAUAGUAUACUAAGUAUUCUUUUUGACAUAAUAUACUAAGCUGGUAAGGUUGUUUUUUUUUUUUUUUUUUUUUUAAUCAAAAAGCUGGUGUGUUGGUGAUACAGAAUAACAUCGAGUUCUUGGGUCUUUGAGAAUCUUUCAUUUUUCUUUUUUCCUUUUCUUAUACUUUAGGCUGAUCGAUAAUGACUGCAGCUUAAAAGUUUGGUGCGCCAUUACAUCAAUGUUCAUAUAAAUACAUUUCCAGUUUACAGUUUCUAGCUAUUAUGAGCUGUGUUGUGUGUGUAUAUAUAUAUAAAUAGAUAGAAAUAUGUAAAUAGUAGUGAGUUGUUACCUUAACUUAACCAUAGUUGGUGAUUUAUCUUAGUCAUAUUAUUUUUGUAACUAUAGUAAAGUAACUGGAGUUACAUUUUCAUUGUAUAUAUAUAUAUAUAUAUAUAUAUAUAUAUAUAUAUAUGUGUGUGUGUGUGUGUGUGUGUGUGUGAUCGGCAAACCAAACCUUAAAAUUAAGUGAUACUUGAUGAGUUGCAGUUACUAAACAAUAGAGAGUACUCCUUUUAAUUACUAAACUUAAGUGCACGUUUGGUACCUAGUAUUACAUUACACCUUACACCUUAUUUGUUAAGACUGUCAUACACUCAUGUGAGUUUUCUUAUGUUGUACUAAUAUUAACCCAUGUUUAGUGUUGGAUGGUAUUAGACAACGUAGUUUGUUUGGUUUGAGGUUUAGAAUGAUAGUAUUAUCUAAGGAUGAAAAAUUUGAGCACCCACAAUAACACCAUCUAAGCUCAUUUAUUUUAGUACCCAGUAACGCUAAACAUGGUACUAAUCAAACUGGACUCCUUAUUUAGGACAGUCCUACUUAGUCCUAACAAACAAACAUACACUUAAGAGUUCAUUUUAUCCCUUUCUGAGGACAAACUUAUAAGGAAAACAGAUUCAGUUGAGGUGAUCAUCAUCCUACUUGCUAUAUGGGGAUCAUAAUCUUUUUCAUCUGAUAAAAAUAUGACAACAUUUUUGUUUGCCAAAAUACUCAAAAACGGUUUCACCUGAAGUGUGUGGUAAUUGAAGGUUGAAACAUAUAUACUGUAUAGAAUAAGUAUCCUUGUAACAAAACCUCCCAACUAAGCCUCUAUUAAGUUGUGUCCAUGAACCAAUCCAUUACGCCGACUACGCUAGCGAGGGAAACCCUCGUCCUACGACCCCUCGAUCUCUUUGGUCUGUUACCAGCAGUACGUAUUGGCUGCCUUAAAUAUUCCAAACGAAGAAGAAACCAAACGAGAGGGAUAUGCAUGAAUGUCACUGAUUGGCAAAUGGCGUGUGGAUGACGAUGAAAGCCAAGUCCACUAACAACUCCGAUCCCCACCUAACGUCAAUACUAAUAUUAUUUUCAUCUUCACUUCUUCUUCUUCUUCAAUUUGUCUCCUUUCACCUUCUCGCCGGCGCCAUGCACCUCAACUCGGAACCCUUCAUCGAUCGAGCUCGUUGAUUUGGUAAAGUUUUGGCAUUUCUGUCAGCAGUGGACCUAAUCAAACGGCUCCUAUUGGUCUUAUUGCUACCUGAUUCUCUGAUAUAUCAUAUUCAACCAAAACAGCCCAUGUUUAUCACUUAUUAUAUGACAACCAAAACGUACCAGUCAAAUACCGUGUCCUUAAUUAAUCUUUGCAACAUUAUAAAACUCAAUUACAAACCAAAAAGCCAACUCCUUUGUUUAUAUCCUACUCCAAACUCGAUCAACACCCCUUCCUUCUUCUUUCUUCUUCAAUCUUCAUCAAAUUAACUGCACAGACUUAAAGCAAACUUUCCCAUACAUCGAUCGAUCGAUCCUCAAUUCAUGGCGGUUUCUCCACAAGCAUUCCCGCCCAGAAAGCGGCGCCCCUCUGCCGGAGCCUUCAUGUCUCCCAAACUCUCCGAUCAGACCCUCCUCCGCUCUCUCCUCCUCCUCUGCCAAGAAAUCUCCUCCCUCGAAUCCCGCGGCUUCCUCCUCAGGCGCACCACCCUCUCCAUGACUCGUAAAUCCAAGCUUCUUGCUUUCCUUUUCGAAGACCUAGCUCGAUCUUCAAUCACCUACCUCUCUCCCUCCGCUCUCUUGUGCUUCCAAGAAAUGUACAUCCUCCUCCAGAGGAUCCAAACCCUAAUCGAGGACUCUUCCAACGGCAGCAAGAUGUGGCUUCUCAUCCAGAACGAGUCCCUCGCCAACAGCUUCCACGAGCUCACUCUUGAUCUGUCCACCUUGCUAGAUAUUCUCCCCGUCAAGGAGCUUGACCUCAACGACGACGUCGAGGAAGUCGUCGCCUUGCUUCGCGCCCAGUGCGCCCGAAGCAAGGACGCUUUUGUUGAUCCCAAGGAUGACGACCUCCGCCUCCAAGUCUGCUACAUGCUCGAUCGUCUCAAAAAAGAAAUCAUUCCAGACCACUCCAAGCUCUCCGAGAUUUUCGCCCAGUUGGGAAUUCUAGACUCUUCCAAUUGUAGAGAAGAGCUAGAGUUUCUUCAAGACGAGUUUCAGAACCAAGCAGACGACAAGUCCAAGUCUCAGUUGCUUUCCCUCAUCGGCCUCGUUCGCUAUGCCAAAUGUGUCCUCUUCGGCGCUUCAACUCCACCUUCCGAUCUCACUCGCCUGAAAUCCUCCUCCGAGUUAAACUUCCCGGUGGACUUCCGGUGUCCGAUCAGCCUAGAGCUCAUGCGGGACCCGGUGGCCGUGGCGACCGGUCAGACCUACGAUCGUGAGUCAAUCAAGCUGUGGAUCGAAUCGGGACACAACACGUGUCCCAAGACGGGACAGGCCCUGGUCCACACGAACUUGAUACCCAACCGCGCUUUGAAAAAUCUUAUCGCCAUGUGGUGCCGCGAGCAGCGAAUCCCUUUCGACCACGCGGAGAAUAAGGAGAAAGUCAGCGCCGUCAAGAAGAACAAGGCCGCGUUGGAAGCCACCAGGAUGACGGCCUCGUUUUUGGUCAACAAACUCUCCCUCGCCCAGUCAGUCGAGGCUGCCAACGGCGUCGUUUACGAGCUCCGUAGUCUAGCCAAGACUGAUUCGGACUGCCGCGCCUGCAUUGCCGAAGCUGGAGCGAUUCCUUUGCUGGUACGCUAUUUAGGCUCCGACGUCGGCAGGGACCACCCAAACCUUCAGGUAAACGCCGUCACAACGAUUCUCAACCUCUCCAUACUCGAAGCCAAUAAAGCAAGAAUCAUGGACACUGACGGAGCGUUAAACGGAGUUAUUGAGGUGCUCCGCUCUGGCGCCACGUGGGAGGCCAAGGGAAACGCGGCGGCUACGAUAUUCAGCUUGUCAGGUGUGCAUGCGUACAGGAAGAAACUAGGGAGGAAGGCACGUGUGGUGAAGGCAUUGGUGGAGUUGGCCAGGGCGGGACCCGGAUUCUCCAAGAGGGACGCCAUGGUGGCGAUAUUGAAUUUGGCGGGAGAAAGAGAUGCGGUGGCAAGGUUGGUGGAAGGCGGGGUGGUGGAGAUGACGGUGGAAGUAAUGGAGGAGCUACCGGAGGAGGCGGUGACGGUGUUGGAAGUGGUGGUGAGAAGCGGCGGGAUGGUGGCCAUUGCGGCGUCGUUUGGUGCAAUACGGCAUUUGGGGGUGGUGUUGAGAGAAGGGUCGGAUAGGGCGAGGGAGAGCGCGGCGGCGACUCUUGUGACCAUUUGUCGAAAAGGUGGGUCGGAGAUGGUGGCGGAAUUGGUGUCUGUUUCAGGGAUAGAGAGGGUAAUAUGGGAAUUGAUGGGGACGGGGACGGUGAGGGCGAGGAGGAAAGCGGCGUCGUUGUUGAGGAUUCUGAGGAGAUGGGCGGCUGCAAUGGAGGGUGAUCAUAUAGUGGAAGGGUAUUCGACUAUUGUGAGUUCAUCAACGACGGCAAUGGUGUCUAGCUAAAUUUUAUUCAAAUUAACCUGUAACUGUUCAUAGUGAAUUGUUUUCUUUACCUUUUGUUUUCGUGAUCAAUUAAUGAAAAUAUCUCAUUCAUUCAUUCAUUCAUUAUUUGUAGCAAUGUUGUUUUUUAGAUGUUAUCGAUUUACAACAAUACUAUUUUUUUUUUUUUAUCAAAAGAUUUCAUUCCUUCCAUAGAUAAAGAACUUACAUCAAGAGCAUAAUAUGACCUCAUUAAAACAUUAUUACUACUUGUGCAAAAUGUCUAGAGUGUUAUAGUUAAAUCCCUAUUGGAAUUUGUCUACUCAUUUCAUUAACAAUCCUCUUUAUAUAGACAAAAUAAAUCUUGAUCGAAUAAAAAAAGAGACACAACGCACCAAUGAUAGUGUAUGUGCGUUAGACUUCCCUAAAAUCUACACUCCCAUUGAUCUUUACAUCAAUCAGGGGAGCUAAGAACAUCUUCACAUUCAUAUGUUUCUCACAUGCUUUUCAGAUAUAACAUUAGGUUGUGAUUUGAGAAACAAGUUUGUCUUUUCUCCCUUGAAUCUUGAGGAGAGACUGAUGUUUCAAGGUAUCAUCGUGUUCCCAAUGGUGAAUACAUAACCAUUUUUAGGAACAACCUAUUGGUUAUAUUGUAACGCCAUGAUUUGCACCUCAUCAAAUCGAGCACAUUACAGUGCCGCGUUCUCUUAGAACCUAAGCUAGGGCCCAUCACUCAAGCCCUAAGAACCCGCAAGACAUUUUAAUUAAACUAACUAAAACUUUUAUAAAUUGAAAAUCAAAAUUAAAGUCGGAAACGUUAACUUAUUUGAGGUGUAAAACAUUAUAAUAAAACAUAUUUACUUUCUUUGAAUCAAGCUAUAAAGCAUAAGACAAAACUAAUGUGAAAUAACUCAUGUAAAACAUAGCCAAGAUCAACUAAAACAUAUCUCCUUGAUAGCACAGGUAACACUGACAAGAAAAUAGAAUAAAGUAGCUGACAAAACAUACAACUUCAACAAGGUUUCCAAAUAAAACACAAGGAAAUGUAUCGAGUAAUCAAGAUACAAAAUGGAAACCUUACGUACGAUAACAAAUUCAAAAAGACAUUUAACUUUAACCAAACAUGCACACCCAGCUCAAUCCCAUUCUUGUGCACAGACCUGCAUCCAAAACUGUUGUAGGGGUGAGCUUUCGUCCUCGCUGCUCAAUAAGACUCAACCAACUAGGUUUGAAACUAUUUAAUUUAUUUUCCAGUAUGUGAAAACAAAUAUAAAUAUAAAUGAUGAUCAAAUCAUAAAGUAAGUUUCAUUUCGAAAACUAUAUGCAGGCCCAGAAUACACAAACCAGAUGAUCGGUCCUCUUAUGCCAACUACAACCUUACCGCAAUUAAUAUCGUCCAUACCGGCAAGGUGUAGCGAGAGUGUCCAUUUACGCCAUACCGCCUAGGACCGACGCCACAUCUCAAAGGAUGUCAGACGUCCUCCAGUCCGUACAGCCCAUGCGGAGGUUUAGGGGAUCGAAACCCAAGUCACUAUGCCCCGCUCACUCUCAAGUCAUCACACAAUAAAAUAAGAAAUCUUCAUAAUAAUUUAAUUGUUUCAAAAACGAUUGAAACAAGCAUGGCAAUAAAAUAACAAAUCUUCAUAAUAAUUUAAUCACAGCCACGCUAUCUUUUCUAUAUAUAUAAUAUACGAAAACCACUAGCCAAGAAAAGUCUAGAAUCCCCUACCUGGUAUUCCUGGAGUCCAAGUCUUUGCUCCAUAACACUCGGCAAACACACCAUACUCGAAAACUCGGGUAACUGGAGCUCUGUCCGACAUUUCAAAUAUUAGUUCCUUAACCAUCAAUUAGGAACUCUUUUUAGAAACUUAACAAGAUUACAUGUACUGUAUCUCAUAAUGUUCAUGUGAGGUGAUAGCCAAUAGUAGCUUGUUAUAAAGACCGAGCUUAGCUCAACACACUAAGCCAACUAAUAACGGCUCAUACUUAACUCAUUCUUUAUCUCUAGCUCAAAUGAGCAUCUGAACCCAAUUCAUUUCUCAUUCAAAUGCCAAGUAAUUUGAUUCACCACUUCAAUAAAUAUUGUUUUCAAUAAACACGCUGGAAGUAUAUAGUAAGAGUGUUCCAUUCAAAGAAGCUUCAUGACAUCAAUAUUUCAAAAAUGUCCAGCACCUUAUAUAUGUUUCAUUAGCUUUCUAUCCAUAUCAUGAUUCAAACCAAACCAAUAUCCCCUUAAGCACAUCGAAUAGCAACAAAUCCUAGAUACCAUUGAUAUAUCAAUUAUACUCUUCAAAAUAAACUAGUUUCCAACUUUAUCAUUCUUACAAAUAUGAUGCAGCAUAUUACCAAUAGAUCAAAACCAUAUCGUUCAUAGCAAGGGAUCAGUGCAUACUUACAGUAGCCUAAUAAUUCUUUCACCAAAGUAUAUUCGUGGCAAACACAAUUAAGUCAACUAUAUGUAUCCAAAGUGAUCACCCACUUACCAUGUAAUUUCUUUAUUUUGAUCUCUUUCUUCCUGAUGCGUUGUUGGACCAAAGCAACUGAACCUCAUAUACUCUGUUUUCAUUGCAUAGGCAUACAAACCAUCAAUGCCAUCAUAAUCCAAUAUAAAAAAAAUUUAUACUUGGAAGAACAUGAAACAAGAGUUCCCUUGUUUACCCAGACUCUAACCUCAAUUUUCAAGAGGAUGUCCAUUACGUCCAAGCAUGUAGUCUUGUCCUAGAUGGAGAACUUGAACCCUUCUUCUUCUUCUGUUCUCAUUAGAAACAAAGUAAUUAAUAAUUGAUCAAUUGCUUAUGGAACCAAAUCCAAUCAAAGAUACGGUCUUACCAUCUUUAUGGUCUCUCUAAAUUUCCAUUCACCCAUCAAUUUCCAACUUCUGCAUUAUUUGACAUGUUCAGGAGUCAUUAGCUUGCUUCUCAACUCCAAAAACUCAUCACCCAUAUAACAAUCAAAACCCAAUAUCAAUCAAACAUGUUUCUUUAAUGAUCCAAUCUCAAGCACCAAAUAGAUUCAAGGACAUAUAUAUCUCACAACUCCGAACGAGAUGACCUCCUGCAUCGAAGCCCAUGAACAAGCCACAUAAGAAAUCGAUUCAGGCAUAGUUGUUACCAGCCAAAUUAUCAAAAUCAAUCAUAACCAAAUCGCUCUUGAAAUCAGAAUCCAAACUACAUGGGUUCUUGGAUCUUUACCUCAGAACGACACGAGAUGAAUAUUUGCAUGUCGGAGCUCUACGGUUCGAUUCAAUGUCAACUGUGUGUGUAGCAUGUUUGCCAUGCUCCAUCACUGCCACAGCCUCGAGCUGAAGGUUGGCGAACUACAUAGCAGCCUCGUCGUCUUGUAAAUAAUCAUAGAAGCCAUGCCAGAGAGGAAGAGAGAAAUGUACGAGAGAAAUCCAGAGAAGGAAGAGAGCGCGAGAAGCUUCUAGUGCAGCUCCAUAUCGACUCUUCUUUUUAGUAGUCUAAUGUGAUAUUACAUUGCUAUCCCCAGAAGGCCAGUUACAUGUAAACCCAAAGUAAAUCGGGUUGUCUCAAGCCUACUUCUUAGGCCCAAUUCGUAACCCAACUUUCAAACCAGUACGACCACAAUUUAAAUUGUCUACUAGAAAUUAUCGAGACUUCAAUUUCACAAAGCUAUAACUUUACAGGGUCUCACAGUUAUAGAUACCUGACAUAAGUAAAACCAACCAAAGCAUCAUUUGGGGUAUGUGUGUAAGGAACCGUAAUUCCAUCUGCAUUCUUUUUUGUCUUUCUAUAUAGAUAGGAUGAACCCAAGUCAAUGGUUUCUUUAAGUAUCAGAAUGCAUUCUUUAUACCUUCCAAUGACAUUACGUUGGCGCUGAGCUAAAUACAAGUUCUUUGAGAAUGCAAUAUCCGGUCAAGUUCAUCGGGUUAGGUACAAUAUUGCACGUAUUGCACUUUAGAGAAGUAAUUUUAAUUCUCAAUCUUUCUUCGUCAUAUUCCUUUGAACGAAAUAGAUCUUCCUUUACAUCCAAAUAUCGACCUGUCAUUGGGAGUGCUAACAGUAUACACUUUAUACACUUUGUCCAAGUAAAUGGCCUGAGUAUCUUUUGGACAUGUGCAGACCGGUGGAUUAGUAUUCCACAAACUCGUUGUUAAUCGAGUUUCUCAAGAUUAUUCAUCUCACUUCGGAUUUCAUGUAGCUCACGUUUCUCUUAUUUCAUCAAGAGUACCUACUAUGUUCAUAUCAUCAACAUAGAUAACAAUGAUUGUAAAUCCAAAACUUGUUUCCUUUAUGAGUACACAGAGGCAUAGUUCAUCAUCUUGUAUCCAUUUCCAACCAAGUAGAAACUACUAUAAAGUGAGCGUUUCAAUUCUAACUGCAAAUGCACUCCGUGGUUUAGUGUUACUUGAGUAGGAUUUUGUAAGGCCAUCAGGCACGUUCAUAAAUAUCUCUCAAUCAAGAUCCCCAUGGAGAUAUGUAGUAACCAUAUCUAUGAGCUGCAUUUCCAUUAUGAGAGAAUAUUUCUCCUUGUAGUCAAUCCAGAGCGUUGCGAGAAACCUUGGCGCCACAAGACGAGCCUUAUCCUUUAGGGUUUCAUUCUUCUCAUUAUGUUUUUUGACAAAGACUUAUUUAUGUCCUACAUGCUUUAAACUUGGCGCCACAAGACGAGCCUUGUCCUUUAGGGCUUCAUUCUUCUCAUUAUGUUUUUUGAUAAAGACUUAUUUAUGUCCUACAGGCUUUAAACUUGGUAAGGUUAGCACUACCAAAACCAAAUACGUGACUCUUUUUCAAAGGAUCUAGCCAGGGCCGGCUCUGAGUUUUUCAGGGCUCUAGGCAAGAAUCAAAAAUAGGGCUCUCUAACCACUUUCAGAUAUAUCCAUAUCUUUUUUACUUUUUAAAAAUAAUUGAAAAGAUUUAAAACAACAAAUAACUACUAGUAACAUCACAAUACAACAAUUUAAUAUCAUUUAUCGAAACACUUUAUUAAUUUAAAUAAAGAUUGUAAAGUUACUGAAGGCAAGCAUUGUUAUUACUUAUUACAAUAGUAUUGUUAUUGAAAGAAUAUAAAUAAUCUUUCCUAUAAAAAAGAAUAUAAAUAAUAUUGUUACCUUGAUCAAACAAUAAUAAUAAUAAUAUUGUUAUUGCUAAGAAAGAGAGAAAUAUAUAUAAAAAAAUAAAAAAAUAAAAAAAAGAGAAAUCUGGUGUGAUGACUAAAAAAAAAAUACAAAACCGAAAAUAAAGUACAAAAUAUAAAUAAAUUGGAUGCGUGUUUCAAACACAGGAGGGCCACCAACAACAUAGAACUCAUUUCACCUUUCCUAUUUCUCACUACAGCAGCAUGAAAUUUAUAACUUAACAAAUAUUUUAAUGAUAAAAAUACUAACACUACGGAAACUUUCAAAAAUAGAAAACUUGGAUUUGAUUUUUGGAGGCCCGUGAAGUUUGGGGGCUCUAGGCGUAGGCCAACUGGGCCUAUGGUCAGGGCCGGCCUUGGAUCUAGCUCCUCCUGGGUUACACUUUUAUUGAGGCCAAUAUGCUAUUUGUUGGCAUUGUUCAACUGAGCGUGGUUUGAUACCUUCGUGCUCUAUGAUUCAUUGAGCAACAGUGUGAGUCAUCAAUGUGUAUGUACUCUCGUAAUCCGUUUGAGAUUUUGUCUCUGGAAUCAUUUUAAACAUCGGAGCGUCCUCUAGUGUUGAUUCAUGGACAUAACUGUAAUUAGAGACAAUUUUAUGAGAGACAUUCCUUAAUUACAUUGAUGAGGUUGUGCCUUACUCGCCUGAUUUCUUUAGGCAAGUAUUGAUCGAACCAAGUGGUCUCUCCCUAUUUCUUUAGGGAGCCACAGCCUCAACCACACCUCCACUAAGUGUGGUUGCAUCGCUUCUAUCUGCGGCGACGUGCCCCUUAUUGGGGACUUUAACCUUGCAGGCGUUUGCAGCUAACAUGUCUGAUCUCGUCACUUCCGCAAUAUCUAUAAACGUAUUAGGCAUCGAAACUGUUACGUUCAAGGUAUCGAUUAUAUGGGGAUCAUCAAGAUGAGACAGAGUGGGGCAACCACGACAAUUCCUAUCGUUCCCUUAGAAAAUCUUUUUUCUUAUUUCCCCUUAACGACGAGAAGACUGUCUCAUCAAAGUGACAAUCAGUAAAUUGAGCGGUGAGAUUGCCUGUAAGGAUUCUAAAUAGCGGAUAAUUGUUAGAGGUGCGUAUCCAACAUAAAUACAUAUUCGUUUUUGAGUACCCAUUGUUGAUACGCUAUGGGGGCGCAAUAGGCACAGAUGUUGCACAACCAAGUAUACGUAAAUCUGAGGCUCAUGUCCAGUUACCAACUGGUACACAUUAAAUGGUAAGCUAGCAGUGAGUCUAAAAACGAAUAAGUAAUGAUGCAUACAAUAUUUCAUAACCCCAAGUAGAUAUAGGUAGAUUGGAGCGCAUAACCAGUGCCCUAGCCACCAUCUAUGGUGGCUUCUACGAGACCAUUUUGUGUAUGCAAAUGGGGUACAAGAUGUUUUGCAUCGAUCCUGGUAGACAUGCAACAAGCAUCAAAUCCUUUUGAUAUUAGCUCCUAGCAUUGUCAAUUCCUAUAGAAUUUAUAAUCAGAGUGGUGAGCCUUUAUUAUAUGUGCUAAGAGUUUUUGUAAAUGUAGCAUUUCUUGUAGACAAUUGUUCGACAUGUGACCAGUCUGUCAAAAACGCUUCCAAAACCAUAAAACCAUAAAGUACUUUAAUGGUCCGUUUUUCUAGAGUGAUAAGUCCACAAUAAUCAUGUUGUACAAUGGAUUUUCAUAUGAUAAUCGUUGACACGAAUAUCUUUGAAACUUUAAUAAGGUUUGAUUAGUGUGGGCAAUUCCACAGUCAGCUAAUAAGCACUUGGUUUCUCCUUGAUACGUUCCUUACAAGUGUAUGAGAGUUCAUAUAAUUCGAAAUAUAACCUAAUAUUGUUUUUAAGUAUUUUGAUAUAAGUAGAAUGAUGCGCUUUUCAUUCUCAUAAUUUCUCUUUUUAUUUGUUGGAUACAUUGCUUUGCAUUUUUAUAGUGCUAUUUCAACCACGCAUUAAUUUGCUAAUAAAUAUGAAUCGAAUAAAUUCAAUGCUUCAGAAUAAAAUUAGAAAUUAAUGAGCCAACGAUAAUCGUAAUGAAGUCCUUGUCCAGGAAAUCUAAUUCAUCAAUCAUUUAUACAAAAACACUUUAGGACUAACCAAUAGUCUAAUCGAACAAAAAUGAGGUGUUCGGCCUUCACAGACUGUUUUGUAAAGAUAAAUAAAUAAACAGGACAGUCAAAUGCUUAAAUGUCCAUUGACUGAGCAAAGUUUGUUUUGCUAUUGGAAGUCUGCAAUCAUGAGUUUGUUUUGCAGUCUGCCGAAGCUAGGCUAUUAGGAGAGGAGGUCCGGCUGGGUUUGCUGGAUGACAGCGGCGGCCGGAAGAAAAUUUUAGGGUUCUUUUUUUCUUUGUUUUAUGUUUUUUUUCCUUCUUUUUUUCUUUCUUUGGCUAUCACACUCAAAGCAAACAAAGCAAAGUGUUGAUAACGUUAUAGUAAAAUGGCUAUUGGAAUUCGUCUACUCAUUUCAUUAACAAUCAUCUUUAUAUAGAAGUCGAUUACAACAGUAAUUACACGCACAUAAUGACGAUAUUCAAUGCUAAUAACAACGUACAUAAUGACUAAUUAAGCUGUUACAUCCCUGGAUAAAUACUUCUUAAUUUACUCUAGUCAAUUAUUUUUGACGAAGACGAAGACACACUUAAGGCAUUUUUUCCUUCAACAUAGAGUGAAAUUAUAAAUUGGAACAAAUUAUGAAAGGAUUGAAUAUGUGCAUUCAAUUCUUUUAAGAUAAAUACAUAAGAAUACAUAAGAAUACAAGAAGUUUGUUAACUACGGUGUAAACUUUCAUUAAGAAAAUUAAAUCAUACUUAUAUAACAUGCUAACAAACUUUUAACCAGUCGUAAGUACAAGAUAAUGUCUUUUACAAAAAAACUAUGUUGACAUCAAGAGUUUGUUCAACAUAGCAAUCUGUCUAGUUAGCAUCAAACCUAGCAAUUAGUAGCAUAAUACCAACUGCAUGCAUUAAAUUGUUCAACACAUUACAAAGUCAAAAUGCAGAAAAACACUCCCUAAAUACAAGCUACUAUACCAUGAACCUACCACAAACAGAAGCGAAGGUAGCUGAUAAAACUAGUAAAUGUGACUCAAUUAAAUUAUACACCGUGUUGUUAAUCUUAGGCUUCAUGGCAUUAUGUUUCUUCUUACCUCAGCCAGCUCUGGCCAGAGCAAUGUUUUACACCACGAAUGAUGAGAGCUAUAAUGAUGCCCAUAUAUUUUAUAUUCUGUUUGGGAUUGUACUGUGUGGAUUGAUAACCGAUGCCUGUGGUGGACACGCCAUCGUUAGACCUUUCAUAUUGGGAGCAAUCAUACUUAAGCGAUGCAUAACAAAUGUUUAAAAGAUCGUGUUGGAAACUUUACGAAAAACCUUUUCAUGCCCUUUUAUAAAAGGAACUGAAAUUUACACUUCUAAUUUUACAAUCCACACUCUCACUUUCCUCUUUUGGUAAGUAAUUUAAAUCUUGUUUUUAGUGACAUGUUUUUGUCUAUUUGUGAAAACUUUACCCAAAAAGAUAAUGUGGGAGUGUGGAUUGUAAAAUAGGAAGAGUGAAUUUCACCUCUCUUUAUAAAUUGGUCAUUGGGGUGAAAUUCAUUUUCUUUUGGCUUUUUGGUGAUCCAGCAAAUGAAAACUGAAUCAAAACAUGGCUUAGCUUGUUGGGGAUGUGUUGGACAUGUUGGAGAGGUAUGUAUCCCACAUAAAAAAAGUGGUAAAAAAAUAUAUCUUAUAAGUGGGUGGAUCAUACUCAAUUGUACCGAGACAUUUUGUAAUUAAAAUCCAAUACCUUAAAGGUGGUGGUUAGGACAGUAUCGAUGCAAGAUUGAUCCACGGGCCGCGCUUGUUGUUGUUUAACAUAAUAUCAGAACGGUUCCCUCUCUAAAUAUUUCUCCAAUUCUCAUGGGCCCAACUGGGUUCUAUCUCUCGCCCAGUUCAGGGUUCAUAUCUCGCCAUCGAAAAGUUCUGAUUAGAUUGUCACCAAGUGUCCCUUGGUUUGUUCCGUCCCAAUUCAUUCCAUGUAUAGACCUUGAGUCAUGUUGCAUGUGAGGGGGCGUGUUGGACGUGUUAGAGAAGAAUAUAUCCCACAUCAAGAUUGAUCCACGGGCCACGCUUGUUGCUGUUUAAUAGUGAUCAUCCUGGCUUUUAGAGCGAAGAGUGUUGGCACUUUCAUCGCUGCUUUGUUCAACAAAAUGACACUUCAAGAUAGUUUAGUUCUGGGAAUCCUCAUGAACACUAAGGGCGCAUUUGUUACGUCAGACUAGACUAGACUGGACAUGAGAAGACACUAUAGCAAGAACAAGCCAGCGUUUGGUAACAACACGGAUUAUGUUUAAUGAGUUUCCGUAGUCACCAACACAUGCUCAACACCUUCUUAAGGAGCGGCCCAGAAAUUGAGGGGGUUUACGGAAGACGGUAUCGUAGACACUGUUUUUCUUCUCCUCGCAAAUCUCUCAUCAAUUAGCUAGCCUCAUCAAUCUUUUUCUUCAAUUUCUUCUCAUCAGCGCUGAUAGGUACUCAAUCUCUAGUCAUCGAUACCUUAGUUUUUCUAUAAAGGGGAAUUCUGGUUCUUAAUUUAAUCAUCAAUAUAUCUCUCUGUCUCUCUCCAAAUUGGUUAAAGAUCGUCUACUACAUGUAGACGUGAAAUUGCACAACAGAGGUGAGAUCAGACAACAACAAAGCACCCGACAACAAUUAUGAAUGAAAGAGUGAAAGCCCAGUUGAUGUUAGAUAUGAGAAUUUUUAUUCCGUCAUAAUCAUUGAUUUGAUUUUGUUCUUUCUUCUCCUCUCUUUUUCUUUUCUUUUUCUUUAAUUUUGUAGCUCAAUGUUACAAGAUCAUUUUAGGAUAACAAGAAUUGGUCUCAAUUAUAUUAGGACUAGUUGAUUUGAUUUAGUGCAUAUCAAAGAAGGAAGAGGGGGGGAGAAGAGAUUUGGAGGUUUUAUUUUUUAUUUUUUUACAGACCUCAUGUGCAUUUGUAUCAUGUGUUUCGAUUUGUUCAUAUAUGAAGAAAUAUAAAGGAACUGAAUGUUGAGAUUUGGAUGUUAAUGUUAUGCUUUAAUUAAUUUGAUGCAUUUUCCAACUGAAUGUUAUCUACUCAUCUGGCUUUUAGUUUUCUCUAGGUAAAAUGGUUUUUGGUGUCCACGCUUAGUAUAGAUACCAUCUUAGCACUAAACAUGAGUCAGAGUUAUUAUAAGAAUAAGCCAAGCUAAAAGUGUUCAUGCUUAGAAUAGAUAUAUAUCAUCUUAGCACCAAACAUGAAUCAGGCUGUCCAUGCUUAGUAUAGAAAGUAAGCCCAGCUAUGGCAAUCCAGCUGUGAUACAAACGUACAGGAAUUAUACUCAUUGUAUUAAAAAAAAAAUACUCGCCCCUUCCCGCGACCUAAAGGUACAUGACUAUUUUUCAUUAACAGUUGCUUAUAAAAUCUGAAAUGCACAUAUGCAAAGCUAAAACAUAUAUGGGAGGGGUUCUAACGAGAACCGUUUGGUUGAGGAUUAGUCGAGGAUUUUCUAAUUAAUGGUUUAUUACGUCCACUUUUUAAUCACAUUUUUUCAUCUCAACCGUUUAGUUUUUAGGUCUAUAUAAGAUUAUUUCUACAAAUUUUCAGCCAAAUUGGUGAUCAUUAAGGAAUCAAAUUAAAUCAAAUCAAUGGACGAUCCAAAUUUGUCAAACAUGAACCGGUCAUGUUUAUAAUCGGCAAAUCAUAUUUAUAAAUGCCUUAAUGAUUCUCAAUUUGGAUGCAAAUUUAUAAAAAUGAUCUACUCAUACAUAUCUACAAGUUAGACAGCCAAGAUGUGAAUAUGCAAUCGAAAAGAGGAUGAAACGAAGAAGUCCUCAACUAAGUGGUUCUAAUGCCAAACAUAUACAUAUAUACAUUUCUCUUUUCUGAAAGUAUAUGGCUGACAAGCUAUUCAUAACUCAUUGUACGGGCUUUGGUCAACCAAACAUACGGAGUAAUGUUGGUAGCAGUUUGGGCAAAUGACGGUUCCGGUUGGACCUUUCCUAGCCCUCUUUUGCAAGUCCACCAAGUGUUCUACCCUAAAUCAACAUAUAGAAGCAUACAAAAUGUAGGAGUUGAAACAGAGCUUUGAAUUCUUGCAUGCAAGCAAUGCAUCCCGCAUCAUAAGCUUCAUCGAGACUUUCACUACUAGAGAAAACCCAUUUAAAGACAAUGUCGUUUGGGAUGGAACAACUUUUCGUCCCCCAAACACAUAGACAAAAAAAUUUGUUUUGCGCGUCCCUAAUAGUUUUGUUUACAGAAAUCUCCAUACCACGUUGGUUAGAGACAAAUAUUUUUCAAUUAGGGACAAAAAAUAUACGUCCCAAAAUUUAAUUGGAGACUAAAUAAGUAUUUUGGAUUUCUAUAAAAAUUGAUAAAAUUUAAAUGGUUAGUGGCGCCAAAUUUCAAAUUUCAAACAAAAUGAUUUAGGGACGAAUUUUCUUAAGAUUUGGGGAUGAAAUCUUUUUGUCCCUAAUUGCUGGCGGUAUUUUCUUUUUUAAACUUGUCAUUUGCGGAGUUGGUAACAUAAAUAGUGCGUAGCGAUUUGACAUAGUCCACCCGCCUUAUUGUACUAUUUUUUUUCUUAUUAAUAAAUUUUCGGGUUAGGACGAGUUGGUCCUUAUUCCCCCGCUUACCCAAAAAAAAAAUUAUUACUAACAAGUAAAGACGAUGAAGACAGUAGUUAAUAAAAUUUUGAAACAAGUUAUUUCAUGCUUCAAAGUACACGAAGCGCGGAUGCCUUAAUAAUAUAGAAAAUUUCAUCUAAGUCACAUUCUCAACAUUUUCUCCCACAUAAGUCCACCAUAAUUUUUUUACCCACAUAAGUCCACUUUGUGGCCCAAAUCCAUUAAGUUAGCUUUAGGCUAUACCUAAAAUACCCUCAGUUCUAUCUCAAUCAAAACCAUCAUUUUUUCACCAUCUCUCUUUCAUCAAAAAACUCUCUCUCUCUCUCNCUNNNNNNNNNNNNNNNNNNNNAGGGUUCCAAUUUUUGGUGUUUCAGUGCAGAAGCGGUUCGCCGGAGGAUGGCUGGAAGUCGGCUCCGAUCCUAUGUCUAUUGUCUGGCCUCAAUUUUAUCCAUGUAUAUUUGAUAGUUUUCAUUGGGGUUGGAUAGUGUUUGAAUCCUUUGCUAGGUAAGAUGCGAUUGCAAUUUGGCUAGAGUUUGUUUCCUUUAGUUUUGAGAUAUUGUAAACAAAGAGUAGGGUGAUGUUUUAUGUUGUUGCUCUUCAUUUGGAAUUUCUAACGGUGUAUGAGAUGAAUGGAUCGAGAUUUGUAUCAUUAUAUGAUUGUAUAUUUUUAACACAGUUAUAGUAUUUAUGUCACUGUGAUAGUACAUUUUAGACAGAUUUGAGUAGAUUUUGUAUUACUUGAGUAGAUCUUGUAUUACUUUAUAGUAGUUUUUAUUUGGUAGUAUUUUUGUCCUAGCGGUAGUAUCUUUUGUUGGUGACGAUAAUAUUUUUCGUUGCCGGCGGUAAUAGAUUUAUUUUUUACGGUAAUAGCUUUUGUUCACAUCGGUAGUAUCUUUUGUUGCUGGCGGUAAUAUUUUUUGCUGGUGACUGUAGUAGCUUUUGUUUACGGCGGUAAUAUCUUUGUUGAUAGUAGUUUGUCAUAUGCUUGGUAGUAUCUUUUGUGACCUCGCCGGAGGUCACCGGAAUUUUAGUAUCGUAGCUUUUGUAGCUGGUGGUAGUAGAUUUUGUUAUGUUCGGUAAUAUUUUUUGUUACUGGCGAUAGUAUUUUUUGUGACCUCGCCGGAGGUCGUCGAAGAUCUCACCAUAGUAGCUUUUAUAGCCGAUGAUAGUAGUUUUUAUAGCCGGUGGUAGUAGCCUUUGUUGCUAGUGACAGUAUCUUUUGCAAUCUUCAGUUACAUUGUCGGAGGUCAACGGUAAAAUUGUCGGAGGUCGGUUAGAAACUUUACCUGAAGUCUGCCAGAGACCUGUCAGUGGUAGUAGCUUUCUUUGCUGGUCGUAGUAGCUUUUGUUGCUAUCGGUAAUAACUUUCUUUGCUGGUGACAGUAGCCUUUUUUGUUAUCGGUAGUAUAUUUUGUUGUCAGUAGUAGUAGCUUUCUUUGCUGGCAGUAGUAGCUUUUGUUGCUAUUAGUAGUAGAUUUCUUUGCUGGUGACAGUAAUUUUUUUUGCUAUCAGUAGUAUCUUUUGUUGUCAGUGGUAGUAGCUUUCUUUGUCAGUGGUAGUAGCUUUCUUUGUCAGCGGUAGUAGCUUUUGUUGUCAUUGGUAGUAGCUUUUGUGGUCGCUAGAAUCCUCAUAGAUGGUCGGCCGGAAAGUUCGCCCGAGGUCGGUCGGAAAGUUCGCUGGAAGUCGGUUGGAAAUUUUGCCGGAGGUCAGUCGGAGACCAUUUAUGGUUGUUGACUUUUUAUAUUAGUGACAUUUUUGUAAAUAUAAUAGAGAAAAUCUAAUUUUUUGGUUGGAUGGCAGUCUGUAAUUUUGUUGAACUUUAAUACUUAAUAUAAGACUUUAUUUAGGCUUGGGUGGACUUAUAUGGAUAAAAAUGUUUAGGUGGACUUAUAUAGGAGAAAAUGUCUCCAAGUGGACUUCUAUGUAAUUGCCCCCUUAAUAAUAAUACUGUAUAUUAAUUAGGCGAAACUGUUUUCUUAGAGGAAGCCGGGCGGCCGGGCACAGUUUCAUCAAACUACUCGAUCGAUUGCAUAUUGCAAUUCGAUACCAUACAUAAUACACAGCUAGGAAUAGGAUGCAGCAAAAUAUUCAAAGCAACACUAGUACAUGCAUGCGGAUCGAUAGAAUGAAGUAGUAGGUAACAAAUUGAUGAAUUAACUGGUGUUUAAUUUCCAGUGAGACCGCAAGCAAGAGCUUGUUUGGGUAUGUUGUUGACAUGUUGAACACCUUGGGCAAAGACGACUCCCAUCCCCAUAUGCAAAUGCGGCUCAAUGUGACAGUGGAAUGCCCACACUCCUGGGUUGUCCGCCACGAACCGCAGAGCCGUCCACCCGUAUGGAAAUAUCACCGCCGAGUUCCGCAGCGGCGGGUUCUUCAGGUUGAACUUUCUCUCGUCUCUCUUGGGAUCAAACUUGCCGUCUCCAUAACCCAACACCCAGAAGUCGUGACCGUGAAGAUGCCACGGGUGUAUCUCGCUCACAUUCUCGCUCAGCGCAUUCGCAUUCUGAAGAAUCACGUCCACCGUGGAGUUCAGUGUCAUCGUGUACACCCCGUUCCCGGUGGUCGUGUUGGGGUUCACCGGCGGCUUCAUGACGUCGUAGUCAUUCGGAAAGCUCUCCGGCGGGUUCACAGUGCUGAAGGCAUUCUUUAAGCCGUACUUGAUGGAGCCGAGGUAAGGAGUUGAGGGUAGGGAGAGGGAGACAUUGUUGAUGGCCCACUUGGUGUAUCCGCCGUUGAUUUUGUUUUGGGUGUUGAGGAGGGUGAUCCGACGGUGAAAGGUUGUGGGGGGCUUUGGAGAUCCCAUUAGGGCAAGGAUGCUGGUGGUGAAGGACUUGCUGUGGGUGUAAUUGUUCCAGAGAGGAGUGACCGGAGGAGGAGAAGUGGGGAGCUUGGAGGCUGAGUUGGGUUUGUAAUUGAGGAGGGUGAGGCCUUGUGGAGUCUUGGGUUCUCUUCCUCUCACUCCGAUUGAAACCCAGUAGUUGUUCCUAGGGUUUUGGUUCGUGGUUAUCAGCACUGAGUAGCUCUCGCCGGAGUAGAUGUCCAGGUCAUCAACUGCAAAUGGUUGCACGUAAUUUCCAUCCGCUUCCACCACCACCAUUUUGUGAUUCUGCAUCAACAACAUUGCAUGUGUAUAGUAAUUAACACCAAUUAGUGAAGUCCGUUGAUUUGCAUGCAUGUAUUUCUUCAUGUAUCGAUCAGUUUUAGCUAGCUAGAAUGCCUUUAGAUAUAAACCAUACACGUACUACUAGAGACCUAGCUUGACUUUAAUCGAAGAGAUCAGCCUGUACGUUUUAGUGUACGUAAUUCAAACUUAAAAUUCCUAGAAUGAUGAAUAUAAGAGCAAUUGAAAUUCUUACGUAGGUUUUUCUAGUGAGAAGUAUUCAAAUUUUGAAUGAAAAGAGAUGAUUUUGGGAAAUUGAAGCAAAAAUGACAGCAAGAUGGUGUAGCAAUCAUGUAGAUGGAAUUGUAAACAAAAACGUGAGGUGUGUAGUCGAUCUAGUCUAGAUUGGAAAUAUCUAGCUACGAAAAUGACAUCGAGUAGAGAGCGUAUUCAGCGCACCCGGGUGCGCCGUACACCCGUCCAUCUCCGCCGUCCAUUUGACGCGGACUUUUGAUUUUUUCAAAAUGGACGGCGGAGAUGGACAGGUGCGCGGCGCACCCGGGUGCGCUGUAUAAUUUUCACAUUGAGUAGUAGUGUCGGUCUUGUUUCCUUUGUAAUCAUGCAUAUAGAUCGAGGACACAACACUAGUUGAUUUUGUCUGCAACCAAUUAUAGCUAGUUUGGAUUCUAUACAUGGAGUUAUGUAUGUAGCUACAAAAUAAACGUGCGUACCAAUUCAAACACUAGCUAGUAACAUGUGAUCGCAGUAGUAUACAUAUAUAUAAUGAUCAACACGUACACAAACAAAGGCACGCCAUAUAUUCAUUCAAAAGAAAGAAAGCAAAAGACACGAAUCAUAGAUAUGAUGAUUCAUAUUCAUUCAAGCAUGUGGUUCGAGUAGUAGCACUCAAAAGAUAAAGAAAGCGAGGAUACAACACAUCCAUAAGCGCGCAGCGCAUGCAUGCGUUGUAAUCCAUCCAUCUGCAAACUUUGUCUAGCUCGUAUAUAUCUUCAAGUUCAUCAUUUUGAUUGAUUCAAAUCAGCUUUCUUAAUUAGUUGUGUACGUUACUAGUGAGUAACUAGCUAGCUUCAUACCCAAAGUUCAAUUUAGUGUUUUGAAAUUUUAUAAUAUAUGAGAUGAUGAAACAAUAAUAGACGCGCGCCUGCCAGCAUCUCUAUCUAAGAUGGUUGUCACUGUCCACUCCAAAACCAGAUAGAUAGAAAGAAGAAACGUAAUUUCCUUUUAAUUUGGGUCUUCAUGUUGUAGCUUUACGAAAGUUCUUUUGCUUCACUUUAUCAAAUACAUAUAUAUAUAUAUAUAUAUAUAUAUAUAUAUAUNNNNNNNNNNNNNNNNNNNNUAAAUUCCUACCGCCAACUUGACGUCUCCACCAUCCCAUCCCAUCCCAUGCGCACCGAUUAAUGGAUUCCUUUGCCACAGACAACUUGAUAUCCGAUGGCAUGGAUUAUUGGUGGUAGUGAAUUAGUGAUAGUACUGCAUGCUAGUGCUAGUGUAGGGAAACUUCUACGAGAAUUAAGUACCAUAUAUAAGAUCGAUCGAGAAUAAUCAUUAACCAAGUCCUGCUAUCCAACUGCUAGCUAGCUUUUUCAUUCUCUCAUAUUCUCAACCACUAUCCAACUUUUUGUUGUUGUGAUUUGUCGAAUUCUUGCAAUAUGAUUCACAACCUAGCUAGCUACGCACUAUUUCAUUUCAUUGUCAACUCUGGCCAACUUCAGCUCGUUACCACAUAUUUGGUUUUCAAAAAUCAUGUUUUUCUUUGACAUGUUGGUGACUUAUUCGAUCUGUUCAAAAUUCUAAGAACAACAGCUAGCUAUAGUGAGAGUGAAGGAAAGAUGGAAUGGAAUAUAUAUAGUAGCGUACUUACCCCAAUGGCGAGAUUGAGGGAAGCAAGGGCAGUAGUGCUGGCGAUUCUGAGCCUGUAAAUCUUGUUGGGAAGAACAUGUAGAAUUUUGGGGGCGCAUUGUUCCCCUCCUCCUAAACUGCACUUGCUUGAAUUGCUGCUAUAGUGCGCUCCUCCCGCGAUAGAACAGUUGUAUUGGCCCCUCCCAUUCAUCAACAAACUCUGAUCAACCAUAUAUAUAUGAGAGAUUCGAUCAGAAAGUGAUACUCGUUUUAAACAACAUGCAUAAAACCAACCAAAAAUAUCAAAUUAUCAUGUGUCAAAGAUAUUUAUUUACCUUUAUCCAAAAAAAAAAAAAGAUAUUUAUUUACCAGUAAUUAUUCUCAGCCAUAUAGAUAUAUCUCAAUCUAUCUGUAUAUAUAUAAUCUAACUGUACGUAUGGAUCUAAUUCUUGUAGCUAGCUAGCAUAAUGCAUGUCGACUCAGCUUUUUUGUCUUCUUGCAUUAUUAAUUCUGAUUAUUGUCCCUGUAAUUUCUCGUUUCAGAGCCAUUAGAUUGAUGGUAAACAAAACAAUGUGAUAGUCGAUCUACCACCAAACACAUUUCGCACUAGCACUCUUGCCUUUUAUGGAAGUUUUAUAAUGUUUUGCCAGUUUUUGGCUACGUACCUUUUUGAAAAAUCUAAAUAAUAUAAACACAGCUAGCUUAACUUUUGUUUGUUAAACCAAUAAUUGAUCCAGCUAGGAAGCCGACAGUGGUAGCUCUAGAUAGCAUGGGGAGUAAAAAGUUUACUGUAUGCUGGGAAUGAUGAGAAAACCAAAAGCUUUGGAGGAGAAAUAAUGGAAUAUAUAUAUGGAGGAUAGCCAACCUGGGGUUCACCAAUCCAACGCAUCGGAUUGGAAGAGAGGCCAACUUCUUGGUGGUGAACGCUCUCGUGCCACCAGUCGCUGAGCAGCAAGUUCAACUCGCCGUCGUAGUGAAACGGCUCUUUCUCUCCCUCUCCCACGUCCACUAUCAGUGAUCCGUACAAGCCUGCGCUUCUUUGCAUUCCAUAGUGCCCGUGGUAAAAGUAUGUUCCGGCCUGCAAAACGAGUUUAGUUUUAGCUUCCUGCGUUACUAUAGCUAGCUAGCUAGCUACUUAUAUAUAUAUAGGUACUGCAUGCAGUUGGGUUUACCUUAUCGAGUUUGAACCUGUAAUAAAAGGUCUCUCCAGGGUUGAUGGCACACUGUGAGAUGGAAGCUGUGCCGUCAGCCCAAGGUGUCCCCAACUGCCUGAUACCGUGCCAGUGAAUCACCACUCCCUCCGUGUGAAGUUUGUUGGUCAGUUCAACCACAACCGUGUCUCCGACUGUUGCCCUUAUUGUCGGCCCCGGAAACUGCCCGUUGAUUCCCAUCACCACGUUCUCUUGGCAAUCUGGAGACCAGAAUACGUACUCCACAUCCCAUUUGAAGUGUCUCACUUUCGCUGCUUCCGCUGCUGCAUGCCCCUGCAGGAUCAACAACAACAUGCCAAACACCACCCACAUCAUAACAUUGUUAUUAUGACCUGCUUCCGCCAUUGAUUGAUCAGUUAAUCAAUGGCCGGAUAUAUACGUGAAGAGACCACCGGGAGAGAGAGAGAGAGAGAGAGAGAGAGAGAGAGAGAGAGAGAGAGAGAGAGAGAGAGAGAGAGNNNNNNNNNNNNNNNNNNNNAGAGAGAGAGACCACAAGAGCUAGCAGCAAAAGAAAGAUAUAUGAUAGUAUGAUGAUUCCAGUUGGUAUUUAACAUGUGACGGCAGUAUACUUAUAUGUAUAUAAUAAUGAUCAAUGUACACAAACAAAGGCAUGCCAUGCCAUAACAAAAGACACGAAUAAUAAUAUCAAGAUUCAUUCAAGCAUGUGGCUCGAGCAGUGGUAGAAUUAGAAAGCGACUAGGAUACAACAUACCCCAUCUGCAGCCUCUGUCUAGUAUACAUCUUACCCUUCAGGUUCAUCAUAUAUUUUUUGAUCGAUUCAAAUCAGCCCUCUUAAUUCUCCAAAAAAAAGUUCUCCUAAUUGUGUUGCUAAUUGAUUAACAUAUGCCAGCAUCUAGCCACCGAAAGAUGGUUGUCGCUUUCUUUUCGAUUUUACAAACAAUAUUGAGAUUUACAACCAGUUAUGAAGAAAAAACAUUCCUUUUAUUUUGGUUUUCUCUUGAUGUAGCUUUGCUUUACUAAUAAGGUUCUUUUUAGUUUUUUGCUUCACUUUAUCAAAAAGAUCAAAAGAAGGUACUUUUAUAAAUUCCUACCAACUUGUCUCCACCAUCCCCAUCCCAUGCGCACCGAUUAAUUCCUUUCCCACAAUCAAUCAACUUAUCCUCCGAAGAAUCGCAUACACAUAUAUAUAUGCAUAAUGAAUGUCAGAGUUUGCAUUCGAUGAUCGAUCAAUUGGUAUUUUGGGUCCCUGGAUAUAGCUGAAUUGGUCGAUACAUGACCUGAAUGGAAUCUUGUUAUUUCAUGUAUUGUGUUUCUAACAUCGUGAUCUGAAGGGAAUCUCUCCAACUUUUUUCAUAAUUUUUUUUUUUUGAUAGUAACUUUUUUCAUAAUAUGCCUACUCUAAUUAAACUAGUGAAUUAUACCUUACAUACUUAUCUAGCUACCUAACUACUAGAUAUGCAUUUCCGGCAACUGCUAACAGCCUUUGCGCGCUUUGGUGUUAUUGCCCAUCCAUUUUCUCGCUAUCUUCGUCUUUCUUUUCUUCUUCUUCUUCUUCUUCGUAUGUCAUGGCCAUUGUACAAAAUUACAAAUGAUUGCAUCCAACUAAGGGGCAGUACAAGCACUUGAGAUUUGAGAAAUGUAAUAAUACAUGCAUAGUAAUGAGCCAAAUUUGAAAUGAGCAGCUACGGCUCCAUCAUGAAUGAACAUAUAUACCCACUACAACAUAGUAUACAGACAUCAAAACAUAAUAAUACAUGCACGUAGAUUCCUCAUGAAAUGGAAUCCAAUGGAGUCUCAAAUUAUAACAGAGAACCUUUUAUAUAUCCAUCAAGCACCAUACAAGGUGCAUAGUGAUAAUAUCGGGUGAACUUUUUUUGAGUAUUAUUUCUUUUGCACUAUGCUAUAAUUUAGAAUCUAUUACUAAAUGCAAAGAUUACAGUCCAGCCUCUUUACAGAUUUUUCUCUCAUAUUCUCAACUUUGUUGUGAUUUGUCAAAUUCAUGCAAUAUAUGAUUCACAACCUACUAUUUCAUUUCAUUGUCAACCCUGGCCAACUUUAGCUCAUCAUCACCACAUAUUUGGUUUUCAAAAUCAUGUUCUAUGACAUGUUGGUGACUUUUUCUGUUUAAAUAUCUUAUAUAUAGAGAAAUAUCCUAUAUAUAUAUAUGAUAUUUCUCUAACUACCAUGUUAGAGAAAUACCAACUACCAUGUUUCUUCGAUCUUCAUACUUGACAAAAGCCCAGGUUAUUCACAUAAACAACUUAAUAAAAGCUAUAACUAAUGUUUCGUGAGUCGAAGUCACAAUAGCUCUCACUUUAAGAGGGAAGACUCUAAAGUAAUUAACUAGUAUUGGUUCCCUUCACAAGGUCUUACUUCUAGUGUUCUAAAUACUAUUUAUUAAUUUGAUUUAUAUUAAGAUUUGGAGUGGAUUCUACGCACAAAGGUGCACUUGCACCAUUAAUGUGCAAGUCCUUAAAUUGUUGUAUCUGAAGAUCGAAUGAAGACUAGAGGCCCUAAAUUCCUUCCUUUCAUUUUCAUUUUUGAUUCGAUCAAAUUAAGCGCCCAUAAUAAAAGUACAUCUUAUUCGACCUCGGUUUCUCACCUCAUGUGUUGGAAACACUAAAGACUAUUUUUUUGGGUUUCAAUUUUGUUAACGGUAUUAGUAUAUAUGCAUGAUAAUGCGACGUGGAUGACCGAAUCAAAAUAUUGCAUAUAAGUUAAUUGCUAGGUUCACUUACACCUUGGUGUGUAGAAGAAUUUUCGAAAAUACAUGUAUGAAUUCCUAUAUAUAUAUAUAUCCCUCAUCAAUUAUGUUCCCAAACAAUAAUAUGAACAUAAUCGAAAUUCUAAAGUAAACUGAAGCAGUACAAAUUAAGACUUGAAUGAUAAAAUUACACCAAAGGUUUUGAAAAAGGAAAAAUGAAAGAAAAGAAGUAGCAAAUUAUCAUCACAUACACAUGUAAUUCACCGGCCAUUAAUUAUCUAUGUCCUCUGGUUCUUGGAGAAGAAUCGAAUUACCAAGUAAAACAAGAUCCUAUACAGGACAGUCCAACCUAACAUUAUGUAAAUCUUCUCCCACUUCUUGACCGAAGACAGGGUCUCCCCUCCACCGUAGUUUAUAUGAAGACUGUCCAAAAUUUGAAAACCAGUAAUGUUGGUACCAUCCGGAUUUAAUCCAAAAGGGCGAGGAGUCUGAUAUUGAUUCAUGAUCAAGCCUUCAUAUGGGUAUGUCAUGGUGGAGACGUAGUUCAUCCACUUCCAAUAUUUGGGAAUGUCACUACUGUUCAAGAAGUAUCCACAGAACAAGAAGAAGAGAGCAGUGAAAGCAAUGACCGCGGCAUAUCCUAAGAUGUAGUUGGGCACAACCGAGCUCACAAACACAACAAACGAGUUUGUAGAGAGGAGAGAGACAUAGAGAACGACCAAGAAGUAGAGGAAGGGUCCGCGGAGCUUUAGAGCAUACCAGACAAUACCUGCGUAAACUAGAGCUUGGAGGGCAAGAAAGGGCAGGUAAGUGACUAGGCCAGCUAUGGUAUAAGAGGAGGCUCGGUAGGCAUUGUGAGCAGUCUCACGAACAAAGAUGAAGCGCUCUUGGAUGAAGGCAGGGACGGCAUCGUUGGAUGAGAAGAAGAAGAGGCAGACGGUGAAGAUGAAGAAACUGAGGCGGUUGGUGAUGCCUUGAGUGUUCUCGGGCGGGUUCUUGAACAUGGUGGCCAUUAAUAAGCCCAUGAAUGUAAGGACUACGAGCCUUGAGAGGAAGAGCUCGGGUGUUCUGCCAAUGUUCUUGAAGUUGCGGCGCAUAAGGAUCCAUGUCUCCGGCAAGAAGGAGUUGGCGAAUUUGGGUCCGAGAUUGUGGUGGGAAGAGGCGUUUGGAUCGUACUCAGGGGUCAGAUAGUCGUUUUCGUUAACUGUGUAGUCACUGCUGUGUGGUGUUGGUGUGCUGUGAAUUAUCUCACUUGAAUAAUUGUAGCCAGGGGAUGCACUGCAAACACCAUUACAGUCAUAAACAUAUAUUAGUUCCAUUUCGAUCAGAUGUACCUUUACAAUUACGUCCAAUUAAGAAAAAUGCAUUUUAAUCACAUACGAGACUAGUUUUAAGAAGAUCGAGUUGAUUUACCUCAUGGGGCUUUGCAUGUUGAGAUCUUUAGGUUUCCUUGAAGGGGUAAAUCUGCUGUGAAUUCUUUCCACGACUCCACUAUUCGUAGCAGUCCAUGACCUCGAAGUGUUAUAAGGGCUCCUACUGCUAUAAGGGCUCCUCAAGCUAUGAUCAAAAUCAUUGAUCACAUGUGUACUAGUCUGCAGAGGAAGCCGCUUUCCGUUCUUCUCGAGGCCUGAAUCUUUCCCACGGCCACUGGGUCGUGGUGGAGUUGGGGUGGGGAGAAUAGUUGAAAUCGACACGUCUCCCUCGGCUAACUUCGGGGGUUUCACACCUGUACGUGCAAACUCAGCGAGUGCCUCAACUCCAAGUUCAGAUUGAUCAUAUUCCUGAAUAACAUCAAUGAGGUACUCGAUGGGACUCUCUUCCUUGUGGACCUUCCGUCCCAUUCUGCCGAGAUGAAGAGUCACGUCUUUCGGUGACCCUUGAUACAUGAGCUGGCCACGAGCAAGGAUGAUCAUAUGGUCGAGAAGCAAUUGGAUUCUAGAUGAGGGUUGGUGAAUGGUGAGGAUGACAGUGCUUCCGGAGCGUGCAAUGUGGUGCACCUUUUCGAUGACACUAUGAGCACUUGUGGAGUCUAGGCCUGAUGUUGGCUCGUCGAGGAAGAGGAGGGCAGGUCCGUGAAUGAUGUCAACACCAAUAGAGACUCGCCGGCGCUCUCCUCCGGAUACUCCUCUAGUGCCCUCAUCACCUAUGUAAGUGUUCCGAGCUGACUGCAAAACAUAAAGUGAAAAGUAAACUUCCGAGCGAGCUUUGGUUGUUUAAAACUUUAAAUUAGGGAGUGAGUUAUACAUCAAAUUAACAAUUCAAAUAAUCAGGCUGUCGAUCAAUCUAAGCACUUGUAACGUAUGUUGUUAAUGAUGAGUUCUAGGCUUCUAGCUAAUUUAACUAGUAACAUAAUAGUAUGACCUUGCAAUAAAUAAAUUAGAGCAUUACUGGAAGAGAGAUACGUACCGAUAACCCUAGCUGUUGAAUCAGCUUUUCAACACGCUGUUUCUUCUCAGCAGUGGUGACCGGCCCCAACCUAAAAUCAGCAGCAAACAUCAAAGUCUCGUAGACUGUAAGGGUUGGGAAAAGCCUAUCAUCCUGCAUAAUAUAAGCUGAAGUCCUCUUAAUUAUGCUAGGACUCAUUUCCUUGCCAUCCAAGGACACUCUCCCUUUCAGACUUCCACUCGCUAUCCUCCCGGCAACUCCAUCCAAAAACGUCGACUUUCCGGCACCACUGGGGCCCAUCACAGCCGUGAUGCAACCCUUGGGUGCAAACCCUGUGAUCUUGUGCAGCAAGUCCACUUCUUGCGUCAGCCAUUUCCCGUCAAUCUUGGUCUUCUUUGUCACGGUGUAUGUGAGGCUCGAAAACUCUAGUCCGCCGGUGAAGCUUGCAGGCUUUCGGCCCCCUAUGUCGAUCACUGCCUCGCGCCGAGGAUGGUCAUUCGGACGAUGAGCCAUGUCUUCGUUGGUCCUAUGAUCCGAUGAGAGCUAGGGUGUCUCACUUAUUUUUUCUUGUUUGGGGUGUCCCAAUCUUUUGGGCUGCAGAAGUGAAAGGGGAAUUAAAAAGGAGAUGCACAGCUGUUUGUGGAAUAUUGAGGAGGCAGUUCCAAAGUUUUAAGAAGAAUGUCCUCUUUGAAAAAUCCAUCUCUAGUCGUUCCAUGCUUGCGAUGAAAAGAUCGAUGAAAAUGCUUUCUUGUUUUCCAACGUUUUGUUUUGACGCUAGUGCCUGCAAUUUUGUGCUGGAAUUGCCCUGGCCAUCUCAACCUCAUUCCUUCCUAUGGAUAAUCUACAGUUGUUUGCUAAGCACGCAAAAGUUAAUAUAUAUAUCAGGACCAUUCCAAUGAUGGAUCCUUAUUUUUGUUCAUUUCUAGGGAUAGGUCCACACCAUUAGAUCUGUUUUUUAAUGGGCUUGAAUGGUUGAGAUUAAAACAAAAAACUUAACACUUAUGUCAAACUUACACCGUUCAAGAUUAUUAAAAAUAAAUCCCUCAUUUGGAUGACUUAACGAUCACCAGAUUUUCUGAAAAUUUGUAGAAAAGAUCUACUCAUAUAACCCAACGAACUGAACGGUGGAGAUUUGAUUUUGUGAUCGAAAAGUUCGUCAAAUGAUAUAUCCCUAGAAAUGAUAAAAAAAAAAGAUCCCUCAUUAGAAGGGCCCUGAUAUAUAUAUAUAUAUAUAUAUAUAUAUAUAUAUAUAUAUAUAUAUCAGGGCCCUUCUAAUGAGGGAUUCCUAUUUUUUAUCACUUUUAGGGAUAUGCCCAUACCAUUAUAUCUGUUUUUUAAUGGGCUUGGAUGGUUGAGAUUAAAACAAAAACUUAACACUUAUGUCAAACCUACACCGUUCAAGAUUAUUAAAAUUAAAUCAAACAUUUGGAUGACUUAAUGAUCACCAAAUUUUCUGAAAAUUUACAGAAGUGGUCUAGUCAUAUACACCUACAAACUGAACGGUGGAGAUGUGAUUUAGUGAUCGAGAAGUUUGUCAAAUACUCUAUCCCUAGAAAUGAAAUAAAAAAGGGAUCCAUCAUUAGAAGGGCAUGCAGGAAACAAGAACUAUUUGACUGACGCGCUGCCCUAUAUAUAUAUUGUUGCAUAUAUAUGUUUGAUAUUGAUAUGAGCAGCUAGCCGUUACUACAGGAAACUCGUUUCUGUUCAUAUGCAUGCUUAGGUAGCUUAAUGAAUUGAUUCAUUCUUGUUAUGUUAAUUAAUUAAUAAGAUACAGGCAUGUUUGGUUAAGGGUAAUUCUGAGGUGAUCGAUGAACAAGUUACUUGUUGUUGUUCGUGAGAAAUAUAGAGGACGUCCUUUUCAUCAUGAAUAUCUACACGUAAAUUCCUGUGAAUGUACCUAAAGUACAUUUACAUGCCGGCCUUGUGCUCUUGACCUUUCUUUAAACAAGUAUAUAGGAGUAACUCAUGCAUUUGUCAAUUUAGUUUGCUAUGGACAAUCUUGCUGAAAGAGGCUACGGUUUGGAAUUAGGAUCGUGGUACCAGGUCCAGUUAGGUUUUCUUAAAUCAUGCAUAUAGAUAUAUACACACACACACACCACGGUCUGCAUAUCUAAGGGUUUACUUUAAGCUAGACUAUAUAUACUUGAUACAUGCAAGAAUGGGACCUAGCAAGCUAGGGCACGUAGCCAUUAGAGGAUAUGUUCAGGUUCACUACUGGCAACCCAUGCAUGCCUCUAACUCCAGAUGACUCAUUGAACUUGGGGGAUCUUUUUAGCUUAAUUACCUGAAUUGAGAUUGGGGUCUUUAACUCUCUUUAAAGGUCGAAUCGGCACUUGCGCUAGACUAGCUACAUAUAUUAUUUUGGGAAAAUGUUCAUCUACUACUACUGAUUGCAGUCGAUCGAUUGCAUAGCGGACUCCGGUCUCUGGAAUCAUCAUCGGUCACCGGAAUCUGCUGUAUAUCUUUCAAGAGCCUAAGGAGCAAGAAGAUGCCCCAAGGACUCAUAAAGGUACAAGCUCGAACCCCGGGAGGAAGAAGCUUGGUAUGGCCUAGUGUUUCUUUAAUGGGGAUAUUAAGCAUAUGCCGAAACGGAAAGUUACCUAUGAGUCUUUUCAUGUUUCUUAUUAUUUUUUUUUUCUUCAAUUAUACGGCUGGAUAAUAAGGGGGAUAGUUGUAUGAUUUCUUUCCUCAUAAAGCGAGAAUUUUUCUUUCUUGUAUAAGUUUGCCUAAUUGUGAGCAGUCCCUUACUAGGGUGGGCGCAGUUCGGUUCGUAUCGGUUGAGGUUCAAACUGUAAUCACACCAUUUUUUCGGUUUUGCUAUACAUCAAACCGCAACCGUAUUUUAAAAGGUUUGGACAGAUUAUUUCGGUCACACUAUUUUUUGAUGCAGUGAGUGUCUGUCUUCGGUGUGGACCGAUUUAUUUAUUUAUUUCAACUAUAACGGGAUACCCAAAGUCAUGCUUAUUUUUACCGAACAAUUUCAAUUAGACAUAAGCAAAUUUUUAAUGCAUUUAGAGUCCACACAAAUCUACAAAUUUCACCCAAAUAUCAUACAAUUAAGAGAGUGACCAUAUUUGAUCAUCACUUAACAAACUUCCUUAUAUAUAAACUAUCAUGCAAACAUAGCAACUUACAAACUGCAACUGCAACUUGAACAUAAAUGAAUAUUUUAGGUAUUACAAACCAAAAGUUCGUUAAUUAAAGAGAAAUAUAAAAAAAUUUAACUGAAAUCAAUUCGGUGUAGUUUGGUUUAAAUCGGGUAAUUUUUCACUUGGAACCGUCUUUCAUGUGGUUUAGUGCGGUGUGACCAUAAAUUAACACCUUUUUAUUGCGGUUACCAGUUUGUUUUCUCAGCUUGGUUCAGGUUAGUAACCUUAUUUUUGGUACAAAUUACUCGCCCCUACCUUAAACGUUAAUCAUUUGCACCGGACCGUGAUUAGGUAGGUUGUAGCUGUUUUGUAGCCGGGAUUUCUUUGUAGUUUUUUACACUCUAGUCCUUCUUUGAAUGUUGAUCCAAUAAUAUCUACUUCUAUUUNNNNNNNNNNNNNNNNNNNNNNNNNNNNNNNNNNNNNNNNNNNNNNNNNNNNGGAGGCGCGCCCUCGCCGACGCCGUACGGUGGCGAACGAACGAAAUCCGCACCGUAAACGGUGCGAACGUCCGCACCUGAGAAAAUUCUAUAUAUAUAUAUAAUGAAGGUAAUUAUUGUUUAAACCUACGUACUGUGUUCAAGAAAGAAAGAAAAAGAAAAAAAAAGAAAGUGUGCUGGUUGUUUGUGAUUGAUGCGGAUACUCAUAGUAGAGGAGAUUGCCACAUUGGGUUGAAGAGAAGAAAAGAUUGUAGUGAUUAUAGAAUAGUAACCAAGUUCAUUUAUAUGUAUUACUGCCAGAUGACUAAGAUAAAUCGCUCCAAGAUUCUGUCUUUGAAACCCAUGAAGAAGAACCUUGAAGAACCCUAGUUCUUUUUCAACAACCCUAAUGCACUUCCUUUAAGCCUUUAUAUCUUCUAUUAACAAGUGCACUUGGCUGAAGAAGCAGCAGCAGCAGGAGGAGGAGGAGGCAGAAGAAGAAGGAAAAAGCAAUACCUUUUACAAUCCUUUUGCACCCUUGAGUCCCUUCAAGCUUUUAUUACUUGAUUAACAUAUAUGCACUUAGCUUGGUCAUUUUAUCUUGACAUUUUGUUUAGACAUGCAAGCAGUGCACUACUGUUGUCAUUUUCCCAUACAAAAUCAUCCAAGUUUGCACCGUAUGUUUGUAUAUAUAUCUUGAUUCAGAUGCAUGAUGAAUCUAUAUAUGUUAGAUUUUGUGUUCCUCUCUUGAGUCUUGAUCGUGCAAGAAUGUUUGAUUUCUGGAUAGAGGGAAUUAGUCUCUGUCUGUCUCCUUCCAACAGAGCAUUAAUUUUAUUAAUUAAUCAAAUAGCACUUGUCAAACAUGCCCAAUUCCAUCUAACGUGGGGAGCUCUACUUCGAUUCUGAAAGGAAAGGAGGUGUGUUCGUUUUGUACUGUAAAAUAAAUAAAAUAAAAUAGCACAACGUGAGGACUACACCUAUAUGUUAUUGAGAUCGAUCAUUUUCUUCUCUGCCUUGCUUCUUUCCCCCUUGAAUUAUUUUUGUUGGUGAGCCUCAACAAGAAAAAGAAGCUCAAACCCUCUUAGUUUUUUUAUAUAUAAGGUAGGAGUGUACUGCAAAACUUGAGAAACUAUAUAUAUCACAAGCAUAUUAUGCUAUACAGUAGUGAGUAUACAUUGUUUUGCAUUCUCUAAGCCACCGAUCGACUUAAUUCUAAUAGCUACCUCCUAGCUCAAUCAUGAUGUUCAUGAGGAGCUGCACCAAGAUUGUAUUAGUCUCCCUAGCUUUGUUAGUGCUACUUGGUGUGGAAGCAGCCACUGCGUCAGAGUUCAACUACGGCGAGGCUCUGGACAAGAGUUUGCUCUUUUUUGAGGCACAAAGAUCUGGUAAGCUGCCACCAAACCAGCGAGUCAAGUGGCGCGGUGACUCAGGACUUAAGGAUGGCCUAGCUCAAGGGGUACUGAUCGACGUAACUCUAAUAGCUAACAUUCUUUAGAAUGAUCAAGUCUUUCCUAUGCAUCAUAGAGUAUGUUUUACAUGUUCAUUUCAGCAUUGUUCUGACCAAUUACUAAAUUUUCGUAAUCAGGUGGACCUGGUUGGAGGGUAUUAUGAUGCAGGGGAUCAUGUUAAAUUUGGACUGCCAAUGGCAUUCACAGUGACAAUGCUAUCAUGGGGAGCUAUUGAGUUCAGGAAGGAGAUCACAGAUUUAGAUCAAUUAGGUCAGACCUUAUGGGCCAUUAGAUGGGGCACUGACUAUUUCAUCAAGGCACAUCCACAGCCUAAUGUUCUCUGGGGACAGGUAUACAUAUCUAUCUAUCUCCAUAUUUUCCUGAGACGUAGAUAGAGUUUGGUGACCUAGACAGCAAACUUUGUGUUCAUAUGUACAAGUAUCCAUGUAAUCAUCAUUUUGUUGUUGACACGAUGCGUGAUGAUUUGAUAUACAUUGUUAUUUCAUUCUCUGACGCUCAAGCCAUUACCUAACUAUCAGUGCAAAAUAGUUUAUUGAUGAAAAAGUUUACUUGAUUUUCAGGUAGGAGAUGGGAACUCCGAUCAUUAUUGUUGGGAGCGCGCAGAGGACAUGACAACUCCAAGAAAUGCUUACAAAAUUGAUGAAAGUCAUCCCGGUUCAGACAUUGCUGGUGAAACUGCAGCUGCCUUGGCCUCAGCCGCCAUGGCUUUCAAGCCUUACAACUCUUCCUACUCCAGUCUCCUCUUAGUUCAUGCAAAACAGGUUCUCUUCUUCUUUCUUUCUUUCAUUUUUUCCUAAAAAAUUGUAACAUUGAUAAACAGAACUCGACAGAAGUUUUAACAAAUGAUUUGGAAUCUAUUGCAGCUUUUCUCAUUUGCAGAUAGAUUCAGAGGAUUAUAUGAUGAAACCAUUGAGGAUGCUAAGGAAUUCUACACUUCAUCGGGUUACUCUGUAAGUUUUUUUUUUCCUAUCUUUCCGUUGUUUUAAACCAAUAUACCUAGCUAGCUAAUGAACUACGUACUUAACUUGCAUCUGGUUAUUAUUUUGAUACUUAAGGAUGAGCUGCUAUGGGCUGCGGCAUGGCUCUACGAAGCAACCAACGAUGACUACUACCUCAAGUAUGUGGUGGACAACGCCGUGUAUAUGGGUGGAACUGGAUGGUCAGUCAAAGAGUUUUCUUGGGAUAACAAAUAUGCUGGUGUCCAAAUCCUUCUUACAAAGGUAUCUAUCUACUUACAGAUCAAAGAAGAUCAAGCAAUGUUUUAGAAAUCUUAAUCACCCUAACUCUUCAAAGAAACAUAGAUUUUGAGCCACUAUAUCUUAUCAAUGCAGGUUUUGCUAGAGGGAAGAGGUGGUGCAUAUACUUCCACACUGAAACAGUACCAGGCCAAAGCAGAUUAUUUUGCCUGUGCUUGUCUGCAGAAAAAUGAUGGCUACAAUGUCCACACAACUCCUGGUUAGUUUCCUAUGCCUGUACAUACAUAUCAUCAGGUUCUGCCUCUUCCUACCUGCUUUGAUACUAAUAUUUUGUCUGAAAACCAACCUCAAUUUCCAGGGGGCUUAUUAUACGUGCGAGAAUGGAACAACUUGCAGUAUGUUAGUUCGGCUUCAUUUCUUCUAGCUGUUUACUCCGACUAUCUCUCUGCUGCAAAUGCCAAGCUCAAUUGUCCGGAAGGAGAAGUUCAACCUCAAGAGAUCCUCAAUUUUGCAAAGUCACAGGCCGAUUACAUUCUUGGUAAAAAUCCCAAGUCCAUGAGCUACAUAGUUGGGUAUGGAGCAAAGUAUCCGGUUCAUGUGCACCACAGAGAUGCUUCAAUUCCUUCCAUAUCAGUUCUUAGUGCUGUGGUUGGAUGUGUACAAGGAUUUGAGACAUGGUAUCACCGCACUGAGGGAAAUCCUAAUGUCAUUUAUGGGGGACUUGUGGGAGGUCCUGACCAGAAUGACAACUUCUCCGAUGACCGGUCCAACUACGAAGGGACAGAGCCUACAAUUUCUGGCACUGGUCCGCUUGUAGGCCUCUUCUCCAAGUUACAGAGUUUAAAUGGUGGUAUGAUUCUCAUCACUCAUGAUUAGUACAAAAUUCCAUUCUAAUCAAUCCAAGGUUUACAUUGCUAAUGUUCUGCUACUUAACUCUAUGCCAUUACAGGUUUCAACAGAGGAUCACCAAAGCCCCAUACACCCACACCAAGUGUCUAUCACAAUGAAACAACAGCACCCCCAAAACCAGCAGGUAAUUGUUCAUCCAUUUAUAGUCAAUACUAUAUAGGAGAUCAAGUACUACAAAACCUGUUAGGCUAAUGCUAAGUUGUUGACUUGAGACUUCAUCAUCUUCUGCAGAUACUCAUCCUAUCAAAUUCCUUCACUCCAUAACUAGCACAUGGACUAUUGCAAAAACAAGUUAUUAUCGACACAAGGUGGUACUAAAGAACACAUCUGAGAAACCGAUAACGAAUAUGAAGCUGGUGCUUGAAAACCUUGAAGGGCCACUGUGGGGUCUCUCUCCAACUCCACAGAAGAACACAUAUGAGCUUCCUCAAUGGCAGAAAGUCCUGCAGCCUGGCGCCGAGUGCACUUUUGUUUACGUUCAAGGUGGCCCUCAGGCAAAGAUAUCUAUUCAAAGCUACAAUUGAUCGAUUAUACAAACAAGGUGUCAACACAUUUUUCCUAGUCAAAAUGUAAUGUGCCGCUGUAAAAUUUGAAAGCUAGUUAAAAAGUUUGUUAUCCAAUCCAUCCUGGAUCCCUGAUUCAGCGUACCAAAAUCGAUUUUUUGAUCUCUGACUUGUGUAUCUGGGGUGUGAAUUUCUCCCCAGAGUCCCACUGACACUUCAGAUGGAGAUAAAGACCUUUUGGUGCAUUCAGCAAAGAGUAGCAACUCCAUAUUGUAAUCACCCUCUCAUCAGAUUGUAGGACAUUCCAGUCUAGUGUUUGGCACAAGAAAGAGUAGAGAACCAUGUGAGGGGGUCCGAAAUUGGACCUGACAGGAGAGAACCAUGGGCUAGUCAUUCCAACUAACCCCUCUAUUUUUCACUCUCUGAGAAACCUGCUGUGUAUCCAUAAAUAUCAAUCAUGCUAUAUAAAUCAGAUGAUAAACAGUUCUCUAGUACUAAACAACAAUGAACCACUUAUAGAUGAUGAUGAAACUUGCUUCAAAUAUUGUAACACAGGGAAAAUUGGACAUACAGCUAAUUGAAGAGUAAAUUGCUCAUCAGAACCAUUUCCACAUAUUAUUACUAGUACUAUAUGGAAGAAACAGAACAUCUCUUCACUGAUAUCAGAUGACUGUCAAAUCCCAAUUACCAUUCCUUUCCCGCGACAAUUUGAGUCAACCUUACUUCCUGAGGUUAGCUGGCUCAAUCAAUAUAAAUAGUAGUUUGCUUAAACCCUUCUCUAGCUUUCAUUUGCACAAUUUAUCAUAACAAGCCUCAAUUGUACUAUGGUAACAUAAAACGAUCACAAUAACUUACAACUCUAUAAAACAUAUUGUAGCCCAUCCCACAAUGGCUGGCUUAACUCCUGUCCUCACAUUUUGAGAUCAUAGAAUGGACUAUUGUUGGUUCAUGAGUUCCUAUAUCAUAUGUAUUUACAUUUUCAAUCACCACAUGCCUAAUUAAUACAUAAAAUGGUACAGGGAUCCUAAAUUUCUAUAUCGUCCAAGUAUAGGAAUAAUACAAUCACAAACUUUCUGGUUACCUGAGCAUGUCUCCACUAUGUAAUCUUGGUCCGCUCAAAGCUGGUGAUAUACUGAAAGUAUUACCGUCGCCAUAACAUGAAGGGUGACCAAGAGGCAUUGGCCUAUCUGGAAUUGGUGGCACCUCAAUAUCCCCUUCCAACAUUUUCAGUGCAUCCAAAAUAGUAGGCCUCAGAGCAACCAUUACAUGAGCACACAAAAUCCCAACAAGCAAAAAUCUUUCCAUUAUGCUCUUUGGAUUUGAAUUGACACUGUCCCCCUCUUUCAACAGUGAUUUUUCUAAGGCCUCUUCAACUUUUCCAGAUUUUAUUAAUUGCCAAGCCCAAUCCGUGAUCAAGAAUGCUUGCGGGGAUCCCAAGGAAGACAGAUCGAGAGCUUUUCUCCCACACAUAAUCUCCAAGACAACAACUCCAAAGCUAUAAACAUCACUCUUCUCGGUAAGCUGUCCAUAAAGAGCAUAUUCAGGGGCCAAGUACCCAUGAGUCCCUGCCACUCGAGUUGUUAGAUGAGACUGGCCUUCCAUACUUUGCUUCGCAAGCCCAAAAUCUGCCACUCUUGCUCUCAUAUCUGCAUCUAGUAGUAUGUUUGUUGCCUUAAUAUCUCGGUGAUAUAUUGCAGGCUUCACUCCAUAAUGCAAAUAAGCUAGUCCCUUGGCCACAUCCAAGAUUAUGCCCUUCCUCUGAGGCCAAGUCAAGGGCCUCCUUUCAAUUCCACUCUGACUACUAGACAGAGAAAGAAAUAGAUGGUCAUCCAGAUUUCCAUUCGGCAUGUAAUCAUAUACAAGGUACCUGUUACUUCCCCUCUCUUCAUAAUUGUCCUCCCCCUCAACCACACAACACCCUCUAAGCGGAACCAGAUUCCGAUGCUUCAAAUUGCUAAUAAUCUCAACCUCAUUGCAGAACUCAGCAUCCCCUUGAAAAUCAGACUCAAUAACUUUCUUAACAGCAACAGUAGUUCCAUCGGGUAGAACACCCUUGUAAACAAGACCAAAUCCACCCCGGCCAAUGAAAUUCUUCUGCGAAAAGUUAUUAGUAGCCUUCUCAAGGUCCUGAAUCUUAAACCAAAUGGAACCCGUGUUGGGUCUAACUCUAAUCCUAGACUCUCUUUCAUCCAAAUCAAAACCAGAAUCCAUUCUGGACCCAACAACCCUUUUGUUCCUCCACCUCCUGUCAUACCAAAAGUACAACCCCAACAAGCUAGACAUAACAAACACAGCAACACCAGCACCGGUGAGGCCGAAAACAAGAGCUGUGUUGCUCUUCUUGGGAGAGUCCACACGAGAAUCCAUUGACAAACCGAAAAUGCAAGACACAGCGCCAUUGCUCUCAGGUCCAAACUCAUUGAUGAUACCAGCAGCAUAAAGAAUAGUAAAGUACCAACAGUCUCUAGAGUGAGAAGAGUUACCAUCAACGAGGAUGAGCUGCUGCUGAAUCUUGAAGCCGGCGGCGACGCAGGCGUCGCAGGAGGAGAGAUCAGUGAGGUCAGGGCGGCAGGCAGAGUCGAGAGCGGUGGUGCCGUUGAGCUUGGAGGAGCCAGUCUUGGGAGGACUCGAUGUGGGCGCAGAUGUUGGGGGUGAUGACAAACUGGGAAGGGUCAAAGCAGUAGGAGACCAAAGAGGGAGGGAGGGAGAGGGAGGUGAGCUUGGACUGGAAGUUGACGAGGCAUGAGUUUGAGGUGGAGAGGUUGGGGAGCUGGAAGAGUGUGGUUUCUUUGAGGUGUUGGGCAAGGGCAACUCCAUAGAGGGACAAGAGGGUUUGGCAACAUGGGAUCUGGGUGAUGUCCAUUUGGGGGGUUUUGGGAGGGCCUUUGAAGUUUUGGCAUGUGGAGGAGUUGAAGGGGAUUCUAAGGACAUAGCUGANNNNNNNNNNNNNNNNNNNNGAGAGAGAGAGAGGAAGUGGGUUUUGUUCUGUGAGCUAAAUUGAAUUGGGGGAUGAUGAAGGUGUUCGGUCAAAGCUGCUGUUCAUGUUCCUCAUUUCUGGCGGCCGAUGAUUCUACUGCAGGCCAAGCUAAGUCCAAAAGAUUCUGGCUGCUUGGGUUGGUGUCACAGCAAACUACAAACUACCAAAUGGAGCGUCUCUAACACGCGCCUUUUCGGCAUUACAAAACUGUUUGUACAAUUUUUCAUGCUGGAUAAUAAAUUUUGCAACCAAUGUUUCAAGACAUUCUAUGUGAGCAAAGAUUGAAAUAUCUACGAUAUAUUUGAUAUAUUUUUUGAUAUCUUUUAUUUUUUACUUAUCGAUAUAUUUUUAAAGUAAAUAUUUUAUCUCUCAUUGUAUGUGCGAAAUUACUUUAUAUCAUCAAAACUUUUAGAUAUUUAGAGUGUAUCUUUAAUAUUUUAGAGAACGAUCUAUAAAAUUUGAUAGUUUGGUAAUCAUUUACACCUCUAGUCCUCAUAUCAUACGUGUUUUUGUCUCAAGUUUUGAUUUUAUCAGUUUAAGCAAGCACAAGAUGUAAUGAGAUCUCAAAUGAAUUGCAAGAAUACAACAAUCAAUAGGAUACGUUUAUGUGGAUAAAUAUACAUUACUUAGAGUCUCUUUCUACAUGUAUAAGUCAAUUAGUAUAUAUUUUUAUAUAUAAAUCUUUGAAUUAAAUAUUUCAGAAUAAAAUAUUAUUUUGUAGUGUAUUCUCGAUAUUUAUCCGAUAUAUCUAAUAUCUUCUUUUUUCAAAGUUUCGAUAUAUAUACCGAUAUUGAUAUUUUAAUCAUUGCUUGUAUGUUUUGCUCAUAUGAUCUAUUCAUGUACGUAGUAUAGUUAUCAAGGUUUGUUUCUUACAAAAUUUCUCUUUACCAGUCUAGACAAAAUGUAAAUUUAACAUUGCACGCGUCAAAUUGAUACAUCAAAUAAACUUCAUCCGACACAAAAAUACAAGUAUAUGUGAAGCUAGUCAACAUAUAAAGGUACUAUCUUACUUAAAAUAUCAGUAUAUUAGAUUAUUAGGUACCAUAGAUAGACUGUAAUCCAUUCAGAAUUGCUAUAUAAUACUCUUCACUUCCAACUCUAAUCCGUUUGCGAAUAUAGUUUUAUGUUAGUAUAUACCAAAUCAAGCGAUUGAGAGGGACAUGUAUGAUAAUCAAGUAAAUGAAACAGUUCGCUUAGCUCCGAACACAUAUGAACCUAAAUAUAGAAGAGGGUAACAAGCAAACCAACUAGUUAGUUAGGAAAAAUGACUCGACCUUUUGAGAUAUCUCACAAAAACAACACACUUUUGCCUCCUGUCUUUCUUUGCCCACACACCCAUGCCAUAGCCAAAAAAACCAACACCAGAUUGGCCUCAUAAAACAAAACCUCCUAAACAAACGCUUCUUCAUCUUUUGAUUCCCAGACCACCAUUCCCUCCCCCUUCCCAUAUUGUUACCGGAUCGAUCUCCCCCUUCCCCGGCGCUCUCAUUCUCGGCGGUUCCUCCUCCCACCUUCAGCAACACGGAGCCGGAUCAUCGUUCUGCUGAUCUAAAUUAUGCUCGGAAUAUCCAACAUUUGCAAGGGAUACAAAUCCCUUGUUAUGAAAUGGAACACCCAACACAAGCAUUCUGCCUCUAUGGACAGUAAUGAAACAUCCAGGGUAAUACUCGAUCAACUCAUUUCAAUCACAAUUCUUUCUUCUUCUUUCUUAGAUUGUUACAAAAACAUGGUUCCAACGUAAUUAUUUUCCAUGCAUGCAUGAUGUGUAAUAUCAAUUUUGCCUUUAUUUUGGAUCCUCAACAAGCAUAAAUCUAGGUAGGUAGCUAGGGAUUGUUUCUGAUAUCUGUUGUUCUAAUAUGCCUUUUAUCUGUGUAGGAGAAAGAUGAGAAUGAUUUUAUAAUUAGUUAUCCAUCGACACCAGUAGGUGGUGGUUUGCAUCAUACGCACAGCAUUGAUGAUAGCUUACUCUCCCGUCGAACUCUUUCGAGGAAUCAGAGUAGCAGAAGAUGCAAGACCCCUACGCCAAGGUCCUUCUCCAGAAGUGUGAGCCGGAGCACCACCUCAUCAUCGGCAAUUACAAGUCGUAGGAACCCAUCCGAGACCGAUAUCCUUGCCUCUAUAACAAGAAAUCUGAGUCGGGAGGCUGAACUUGCUGCCUCUAUAUCAAGGAAUAUAAGUAGGAACAUGAGUAGCAAUGCAAGCUGCAGUUUGAACAGGACUAAGAGCCAGAAUAAUGGGAGCAGGCGAAACCCGUCUGAGUCUGAUUUACCCUCUCCAUCACCUUUAUCUCCACCGCGCAGCUCCCCACCGGCCUCACCUUCACCUGCCGCCUCUCCAUCUACCGCUCGAUCACCUCGUACCAGUAAAACAUCUGAAACGGACCGUACACCACUCACAAGAACCCCGAGCAGGAGGAGCACCACCCCCAUUGUGUUCUCUCAGACAACGGCGAGAAGGAAACCUCCCCCGGUUGAGAAGAAGCUUGAAUUCACACUCGAAGAGUUGUGUCAUGGAUGCGUAAAGAAGAUCAAGGUUACUAAAGAUGUCAUCAACCAUGCAGGGUUUGUUACUUGUUCUACACUAGCUCAUUCAUUAUGACUGCAAGAUUACUAGCAUGAGGACAUCAGUUGACACGAGUGUUUUAUUGAUCUUGUUAUGACUGCAGGAUUAUUGUGAAAGAAGAGGAAAUGCUGAAAAUAAAUGUGCAGCCAGGUUGGAGGAAAGGAACCAAGAUUACUUUCGAAGGGAAAGGGGAUGAGAAACCAGGGUACCUUCCAGCUGAUAUCAUCUUCUUGAUAGAUGAAAAGAGGCAUCAUUUGUUCAAAAGAGCAGGCCGGGACGAUUUGGAAAUCGCUGUUGAGAUUCCGCUGGCUGAUGCAUUGGGAGGCUGCUCGUUUCCAGCUCCCUUGCUAGGAGGUCAAAAAAUGAAUCUGUCAUUCGACCACAUCAUACAUCAUGGUUAUGAAAAGGUCAUUGAAGGACAAGGGAUGCCAAGGCUUAAAGAACCAAAAAAGAGAGGUGACCUCCGCAUUACUUGUCUCGUUAAAUUUCCCAAAAAAUUGAGCAACGAGCAACGAGCAGAAGCUGUUAGAAUUUUACAAGAUUGUUCUUAUCAGUAACAAGCGACCGUGUUGAUUACAUUUGAGGGGUCGAUAAUAUUUGACACAGGACAAUUUUUCAUAGGCUCAUUUUUACAGUAGUCACAUUUUGCAUUGCAUUGGAUUUCAUGUACAUAGCUAUCUGUAUAAUGGCUACACUCUCAAGGGUUCCAGAGAACAGGGUAUCCUUAAAGUAGAAUUCAACUAAGAUUUUUGUGGUAGAUAGUGUUUGGAAUGUGUAUUGGUGUUAAAAAUCAACUAAUUUGUUUUUACCCUUUCGAAUUGUUUGCUCCUAUUUUCUGUGUGCAGCUGUAAAAAAUUACGUUUUCAUAUUUGCAAUGCAUAUAAAUGAAUGAAACUAGAGAUAAACUUGAUGCUCGAUAAAACCAUCAUAACUCUGUGUCUUGCAGCUCCCUCUUAAACACAUGUUUAAACAACAAUAGAAGAAAAACAUAAGAACCAAAAGAAAAAAAGAGAAAAAAAGAACUUAGUAUCAAGAUUCAAGAACAAUAAGAAUAAGCACAUACGGAGUUUAAAAUCUAGAGGUUCAAUGCGCUGCACCUCAAGAGCUUGAGCUUCUCGAUGGUGGCCGUUGCCCAGCAAGGAAAGGUACUUCUACCACUGUACCUGUAAUAGCAUCUCCGACCACUACCAUGUCUCCUUCUGAAACAUUUUGCCUCUUGAUAUAGCCUAAACCAAAGUACUCACUUUCCUUUCUUCCGGAUGUGCAACUUGUCAGCUUUCCAACCUGUGAACACACAACAAGCUGCUUAUAGUACAAUCACAAAGGUCAUUUGGAAUUUUUAGCUAAAAACAAGGAUUGAUACUAUGGAGAUAAUUAGCUGCAAAAACCAGCUUCACAAAGAUAUCUGUCAUCAUUUUCCCAUGUUUUGUUUGUACAAAGUGAACCAACUACUACCUUUUUCCCACCAACUGUAAUGAUGCUGCCAGGUUCCGCUGGUGCUGAUAGACAGAUUCCCCAAAGUCUUUGCUUGACUCCAUCGUACGUUAUCAGUCGAGAUAUAGUCUCCUGUCCCUUAUAGCACCCUGCAAAAGGCCAGAUUAGGACCAGCUAUUUUCACAUUUUGUCUAAAAUGCAUUAAACUAACGAAAAUGAUACCUUUGGUUAAAGAGAUUGAAUUCCAGAGACCGGCCUCCAGGACAUUAUAUUCAUUAGUAAGCUCCUUCUGAGGAGCUGGCUUUCCUGCAAAUGUUGAUUAUGCUGAUCACCAGCGAAAUACCGGAGAACUGAUGUUUAAUAUAUCAAAAUACCUAUUAUAGCUGUAUCUAUAAUUCUAUAUCUUACUAGUUAUUUCAGAUCACAGUUAUGCAUUAUUACUAACUAGGCACCAUGUCGACAACAUGUGUGUAUGACAAGCCCAAAAUAUACGUUAUACACGUGUAUUACAAAUUUACAAGCCUGUGAAAAAGACAUAUGCAAGGAAAUUAGUUAAUUAAACUCAUCCAAAUCCAAUAAUUAAUUAUUCUAACAAACAAGAAAAAGAAAAAUUUGCAGCACAAAUCAACUAUUAAGGCAACUCGUAUACUGUCUAGAGACACAAUUGGCAAAAUUUGUAUCAAGUUGUCAAAGAAAAUGAAAAUGCGUAGUUAAAAUUGAAAGAUAUUAAUAAACAUGUAAUAAUGUAUAUGUAAAAAUACUGAUGAGAGUAAAAAGAACCAAUGGCUCGCUCAGUGAGGUAACCUUCCUCCUUACAAUGGAGGUCUCACCAAUUCUUUGGUAUGCAUCGACAAAAGGUAGUCCAAUCACAUGAAAAUUUUAAUGUAUUUAAAGUGGUCAAUCGCCACUCAAUCCCAUUACUUAAACCAAUUUAUGAAUUGGUGAUUCCUCAGCAAUGAGGCUGGUAAGAGGCAAAGCAUGAUUUAGUUAGAGAAUUGGAGACGGAGCAUACUUCUGAAUAAAGAAUUGUCUACCUUGCAAAAUUCUUAGUUUUUCCCAUGCAAUAGAGCCCAUUGGGGUCGCACCAUGAGAUAGAAUAGUUUUCCAGACUGAUCCAGCGGCAGCUGGUGACAUCAAAAGUGAAAAGCCUUUUUCAGAAAUCACAUUUCCCACUCCCACAGUAACAGGCAUCCCGUUGACCUGCCGCGUAAUAGGAUACUGGUUUUCAAUUCUAUUGUAAAGCUUACUCAUAUAUAAAAGUAUCCAAAAAAUGAUUGAUGCUUACACUGAAAUGCUGAUGCGUGCCGUAUGGUUGUCCAACGAGAUCACCUAGGUUUAACUCCUCCAUUACCUGUCCCGUUCCAUUAAAAACCAUUAGCAACAUCAUGUUUCUAGUAAUGUAUAAGCCAAAGAAUGAAAAUGUCUACCACAUACAUGAAGAGCUAAAAAUAUCCCUUACAUAGUUGCUUUUAGGUCCCACUAAAACGAAGAAGCAAGUUUGCUUAGUGAUGUCUUGAAUCUCUACCUUGUCAUUGAAAAAUAUGUACCUAUACAAUACAACAUGCAGACAUGAUUCAUCACAUGGAAUCUCAUCAUAAUACAAAAAUGACUUGAACCACUACCAAUGUCUCAUAACUUAUACACAGCUGAAUUGAAGUAUUGAAAAGGUGCAAACUUAAUGUAAAUAUUCAACCGAUCCCCUCAAAGUUUUUUUUUUUUUUUUCCUUGUUUUUCUCUGUUAUGGCUUGUGUCCUUUUUUGCCAAAUUUCAGUUACAUUAGACUUAGAUGGUGGUGUGGUACACCAGAACACAUAUCUUUCAAGAUUACUUAAAAUAAAACUAACCAUGUAUGUAAGAUGCACCUACUUUUUCAGCAUUUCAGAGAUACUUCUGGAAACAGGUGAAACCAUUAACAUUACUGCAUUUUUCUGUGGAGCAAUUAAAAAAGAGAGAAAAAUAAUUAAACUGCUUCAAGAACAAUAAUAUGAAGAGCUUUAUAAUGCAGGGGAAGCCAACAACCAGAUAAUAAUGAUCAAUAAGAUAGAUUACCAUGACCCAUGCAUGUGCGAUAUCUAUUGUCCGAGCUGUUGGUGUAACAAAAACUGUGUCACAUCCCUAUGGAUUUCAAUCAGAAUUCCAAUUACUUAACCCUGUAUGGUUGUAUAAAUAUAAAAAUUACUCGUGUUGUCCCCAGUUAUGCAAUCAACUGCUGAUUACAUCCCCCCAAAUAUACCUGUCCUUCAUGGAGACAUUCGAAAUUGGCCGUGCUUUGGUUGUGAAGAAACUGGAUCCUGUCAUCUCCACUAACUUCAUGUUUUAUCAUAUGCACACCACAGAAACACAUAAAACCAUACAUACAUCCAUCAAUAACACCAAAUGCUACAUACUCGACAUCAAACAAUUAGAUUACAUCACCAGAAACAAGUAAAUAAAUAAUGUCUUAUACCUCUUAUCCGGCAAAAAUGCGAGAGGUCCACAACCUGAAGCAUGAGAUAUGAAGCAGUACUGUGUUAAUUCACUUAACAUAGAAAAUUCAAAUGAGUUAACUGAGGCAAUGUGAAUUAGUCGCACCACAAGACCAUUAUCGGCAGCAUCCAAAGCUUGGUCAUCGUUGUCGAACGUUUCGAUAAUCCCAUCAUCUGAAACUGUUGCUCCAGCAGUUGCUGCUGCCACAGUGUCCUGCAAUCACCACUUUGCAUUCAUGAAUUCCGUGGAAGACAACAAAGAGGAAAUAUGUAGCGAUGAGUUAGUUACCAGGAGGUCGUGGUCAAUAGGAGGAGGGGAGAGGUCGAAUGGCAAAGCUCGCGUUCUGGUUGAGGAGAGUGUGAGCUUCUUCUGGGUAUGAGUAGUCUGAGUGAGCGAGGGAACCGCAAAGCUUUGGUGGGGAUAAGCGAAUAUACGCCAUGGAUUAACAAGGAGAGACUCGCAUGUUACUUUUGCCAUAUUCCUUCUCUUGUGGGUUGUUUCUUUCGCCCCUCCCCUGAAACAAAUAAACUGUCUGUGACUCUCUACUCGAUCCUUUUUUAUUUCCUUUUUUCUUCUUCGUUUAUUUGGGUGCGCGGACCUGAACAGUGGUCAUUUUCUUUUAGGAAAAUACCUAUUUAAUACUAAUUUAAACCCUUCAUUUCUCAUUCCAAUGAUAAUCUUUUCUAUUAGCCCAUUUCAAUAUAAGGUUACCUUUUUUAUGCCCAAAUACACAAAUCUUUAUGCCCAAAUGCACAAAUCUUUACUAAAGUCUUAACAAAUCAUAUUAUUUUAAGACUAUUUUGCUCUUACCCUUUAAUAUAAACAUGCAUAGAGAGAGAAAAUGAAAAAGAGAAUACUUGGCCGGAAUCUCACCAGACUUUGGUCACCGGCCGUCGGACUCCGAUCACCGGAAUUUUCCCGACCGCCGGACUUCGGUCACCGGAUUUUUCCCUGUAACUAGUUACUGACCCUCAGUAAUUAGUUACUGAUCAGUUACUGACACCCAGUAAUCAGUUACUGACCCCCAGUAACCAGUUACUGACCCCCAGUAAUCAGUUACUGAUCAGUUACUGACACCCAGUAACCAAUUACUGACCCCCAGUAACCAGUUACUGAUCAGUUACUGACCAGUUACUGACACUCAGUAACUAGUUACUGACCCCCAAUAACUGAGUUACUGAUCCCCAAUAAUUAGUUACUGAUUCCCAAUAAUUAGUUACUGACCCACAAUAAUAUACUUAUUUCAGCUUAAUGUAAUAGAACAUAAGUACACAAAAUGCACACACACAAAGAAACGUUGCUCUGAUCUCGUAAAAAAAAAUAAAAUUUACUCUGGGCACCCAACCGGAAUUUCGUCCUCCUCUCAGCCUGCUUUUGCUGCUCCUCAGUUUAGCCAUAAAGCAGUCCGUGCGGAGCGGCAAGUCUGCAGUCCGUGCAGAGCGGCAACAAGCUCCUGGAAGUGGAUGGCUCCGACUCCCUCACGCGCCUCUGCUUCCCAGUCGUCCUCGCCAAGUCUGUAGUCUGUGCGGAGUGGCAAUAAGCUUCUAGAAGUGGACUGCUCCGACUCCCUCACGCGCCUUCGCUUCCCCGUCGUCCUUGCCAAGUCGGCCUGCUUUGACGCCAACUGCUUGGAGCAGAUCCGACCUGCUCAGAUCUCGAUCAGAUCUGGCUUGCUCGGAGCUUGGUUGCUUGGAGAUUGAAUCUUCUCCUCAAGCCUCAGGCAAAUCGACUCGCCGGCAAAGGUGUGUUGGACCGAGACGGCAUGAUGAAGAUGCUUGGAGUUGGAGAUCGGAGCUCCUCCUCGUGGCUUGCUAGCGACGACGCACUGCUCCGUGGCUUGGCUUGCCGGUGACGACGCACUCUUCCUCAUGGCUUGCCGACGAGUGACAGUGUAGAGAGAGAGAGAGAGAGAGAGAGAGAGAGAGAGAGAGAGAGAGAGAGAGAGAGAGAGAGAGAGAGAGAGAGAGAGAGAGAGAGAGAGAGAGAGUAGUAGUAGUAGUAGUAGUAGUAGUAGUAGUAGUANNNNNNNNNNNNNNNNNNNNAGAGAGAGAGAGAGAGCAGAGAGCAGAUCGGGAGGAGAAGAAGAGAAAGAGAUGAGAUUUGUGUGGGUUUAAUUCUAUAAAGGGUAAUAAUGUCUUUUGCACAAGAAUUAUUGAAAUGGGCUAAUAGAAAAUAUUUACAUUGAAGUAGGCAUUAAAAUCCAUGUUUUUGUGCAUUUGGACAUUUUCCCUUUUCUUUUCUUUUGAGAAAUUUUAUUCCCACGUGACUAAAUACUAAAUACACAUCUCACACUUAAUAUAUCAUCAAAUAAUUUUAUAAUAUUAACAUUUAAUUAGAUACACAUCUUUAAAUUUCCCAGACUACCCUCAUUCAAAAUAUACCGAUACUACCAUAUAUAUUUUAUAAAUACACAUUCCUUUCUUUUUUUUAUCAUCUCGACUUGGAAAGAAAAUAAAAAUUUUCUCUCUCUUUGCUAAAGAACGAGAAAACUAUUUUUUCUUUAUAAACUCAAGAG